GGGUAUUCUUGUUCAAUAGAUGUUUUGAUUUUGUGCUUCGAUUCUUUUUCUCAACCGAUUCUUUUGUUUGUUUGUUGUCAAAUCUUGUGAGGAUGGUGAUCUGUGUACAAUAAGCCGAUGCUCUGGAUGUAGAAAUAAUGAAGGAAGCAUGGUAAUGUGCACAGAGAUUGAAUUCUAAGGUCAUCAUGUCUGCUCUCUCUGAUGCCUUUCGGGGCUUUGAUUUGGGGGCCUGGAUCAGACCUACAUUUUUUUUUUUCUUUUCCUCAUCUUCGAAACACAUAAUUUUUUAGAUUCAAAUGAUACUGUUAUUUUUAUUUCGGAUGAGAUUUAUUUUUUUGUUUUUUUUGUUUUUGAAAAUGGGAAGACAAUGUAAUAUUUUGUUUUUGUUUUCAGAUUACUAAGUCUAAUCUGAAUUUGAAAAAAUCAACCCUAACACCAACCCAAUCCCACCUCUAACUAAAAAUCAACCCUACUCUAACCUAAUCCCAUCCCACCUCAAGAGUACCCGAUCUCAAUCCAACCUAACCUAACUUUACACUUAGGUUGAGUUGAUCGGAGGAGUGUACGAAUCAAAAUCUAUGCAUUUUUCUAUACGAUAUAAUUGUAAUUUGAUAUUAUAGUUAAAAUAAAAUAAAUAUUAUUAUCCAUGAUAAUACAAAUUAUAAAUAUGAUAAAGAUGUUAAAUCUGAUAGGUAGGGUCAGGUUAUUCACCUUUGUUUUUUAACUUAGAAUAUUAAUAUUUAAUAGUGUUAGAUAUUAGGUUGUUUUUUUUUUUUACUAUUUUAUUUUUAUUAAUUAUUAAAAAUAAAAAAAAUUAAUAUGUUAUUUUUUUAUUUUAAAAAAAAUCACAUAUUCUGAAAUUUUCUAUUUAAUAAAUAAUUUAUAAUAAGUAAUGAAAAACUGAAAAAAAAAUAAUUUAAAUUUUAAAAAUAAAUUAUUUUGAGCAAAAGUCAAAAAAACAAAUGUCACUUAAAUCUCAAAUUAAGUUUAAAUUAAAAAAAAACUUCAUUUUAAGUCAAAUUAAAUAUUAAAAAUGGUCAAUAAUUGAAUUAGACAAACCCAUCAAAUUACAACCUUAAAUAGAAUAUGGGAGUAUUUGGGUAUUGGUAUGACCCAGAUGUGUUUGAAUUUAUUUUAAUAUACAAGGCAUUUGGAAUAUGAUGCAUCAAUAUUAAUUUAACCUCUUUUUCUCAAUGAAAUAUUGGGGCUUUUUUGUGAGCAUGAAAUGCAGUGAAUGUGUACAAAAUUAUGUGUCAAGGUCAAUUUUAUUAUUUUUGUUGAAUAUAUGUUCCAAAACAUAAAAAUCAUGAUAAUUGAAAGGGAGGAAAUUCUUUUGAAAAUGUAGGGAGAAAGUAGUAUAUGUUUCCUCAAUUCUCUCUUUCAUUGAUUCCUUCUCCAUUUCUACCCCAUUUUCACAUAAGCUAUUAGUAUGCAUUUUCAAGGAGAGUUGUGGAAUGUCUUCUUGAACAUUUUUGCCAAUUUGUUACAAAAAGGGAGAAAAAUCAUAUUAAUUAUUGAAGGAAGGAGGUGGUUGCUAGUUUAUUUUGAUUUAUUUUGGUGCUUCUAUUUUGAUGAAUGCAUAGUCUUGAUGAAGAUUCAUGGCUUCAUCAAAAGUGAAAAUAUCUCGGGAAGGCCUUUAGGUGGGACGAUAUCUCAUUAAUCAAGUCAUAUCAUACAUUCCUUCAUAUAAUAUACUUUUGUGUAUGCAAUAUAUUACUAUUAUGGUCAUCUUAAUUGUCUCACAUGUUAUAUGGGUUGUUCAACAAUAACCAAAUUUGAUACAUGUUAUGUCUACAUGAUUUGAUCAUGUGCCCACGUGACUUGUUAUCUAAUUAAUAGUAAAGAAAAGCCUUUGGAAGGCCCUUAGGUGUAACCAUAGCUCAUUAAUCAAGCCACACCAUAUAUUUCUUCUUCUAAUGUGCUUUUAUGCAUGCAAUAUCUUACUAAUCCAACCAUCUUGGCUAUCAAAGUCUACCACAUUAUUUUCGCUCUCUAAUAGUGAUAAACUUGAUGCAUGCCUCCUCUACAUAAUUCCAUCUUGUGCUCACUUGACUUUAUCCAAUUGAAAGUCAAACAAGCCUUUGGAUGGUCCUUAGGUGUGAUAAUAUCUUUUUAAAAGUCAUACCAUAUAAUUUUCCUUCUAAUAUGCUUACUUUUGUUUAUGCAAUAUAUGGUUAAUCAUGUCAUGUUGGUUAUCUACUCCGUCAUCUUUGUUGUCUUAGUCUAGCACUAACCUAACCUUGAUACAUACGACAUUGCGUGCUCAUAUAACUUGUUGCAUAAUCAAAAGUCAAACAAAUCUUAGAAAAGUUAUUAAAUGUGAUAUAUAUCCAAUUUCUAAUGCACUUGCGUAUGUAACAAUAUUUUGUCAAUUAAGAGCAUGUUUGGGAAUGAUUUUGAUUAAAACACUUUUAUCUUGAAGCAUUUUUGUUGGUAGUGCUUCAAUUGAAAACUUUUUUUUUAAAGAAAAUCACUUGUGUUGGAUAUAAGCAAAAAUAAAAAUAAAAUGUUUUAAUAGCAUUUUUUUAUAUAAAAUAUAGUAUAAUAAAAGGUGAUUUUUUAAAGAAUCAUUGGAGUGAUGGUGUAAAAAUCACUUUAAAUGAUUUUCUAGAUUUUUAAAAGUGAUUUAAAAAAAAUUGACUAUCACCUAAUUUCUACAAGAAAACACUUUUAUUCCUUUUCAAAAUUAUUCCCAAAAGAGUUAUAAGUCAUUUUGGUUUGAUACAUCAUAUUAGUUUUUAUGGCAUGAUAUACCCGUACAACUUGUCAUCAAACAAUAAUUAAACAAGCCUUGGGAAGGUCCUUAGUGUGAAAAUCAAACUUGAUGUAUGUGAUGCCCAUGUAACUUGUUACCCGAUCAAGAACCAAAUAAGCCCUAAAUGUUAAAUACACGAAGGUGAUAAAAUUCAUCCAUUAAUAAUUGAAUUUUUAUUCAUCAGCUUGGUGGAUAUAGAGAGGAAUCAAUGGAAGAGGAUGAUUUGCCCUUCUCUCAAUUAGGAGGAGCUAUUUGUAGGUUCCUUGAUCAUGAAACUUUCAAGAAAUUACUUUUUUUCUUUCUUUCUUUUGUAGUCUUUGGUGCAAAGUAAAAAUUGAAUUGCAUAGAGCAAAAAUUUAAUGAUAUAUGACUAAUUAUUUUCUUACUUGUAAGAGCCUUUUUUUAUUCUAUGCAAAUCUUCUCAGGUAUAGGAAACCUCGAGGUAUUUACAGGUGGUCGAAUUUAGAGGCACUUAAUUUUUAUUGAGGUGAAUCAAACUUUUGGCCUGUUCACGGGGAUACUUUAUUUUGAAAAUUACUAGGAAAAGCUUAAAAGCUUUAUAGUUUAUCCAGGCUUCUAAAUACUAGUAUGAAAGCCUACCGGAUUUCAUUUUGGCACGGACCAAAGAUUCUAACUCCAAUCGGUUGCCGCCUGUGUGCACUUGGCUGUGCUGCAGUGCGCACCACGUCGCUCCCCUCCCUGCCUAAGACUAUGCGAUGCCGCGUAGAUGACCGGCGCCACAGUCAUCUUGCGUGCUGACCGAGUGACCGUUGGUGCAUUUGCUGCCCAUCUAGCCCACGCUACACCAACCCCUGUUCUGUGGGCUAUCAAUGCUUUCAAAUGAGUGUGCCAACAUCGGAAACGAAUGCCAUCGUACCAUGGUCACACGUCUAAGGUUGCAAACCUUGAAAGAGCUAUUCCCUCCAAGUGUUUGAUAAAAUGCCUCAUCGACUCCAAUGAUAAAAGCAUACCUACCGGCUACCGCCAUGCCCUAACCUUUUGCGGGACAUGGUAUGAAUCUUGCCACGUAGCUGCGGCAAAAGAUACUAGUAACCCACAAGGUCAGGGUACCAAUUGAAGAAACAUUUUGGACAUGGAAAGAUGUGGCAACAUGAAAAAGUGGGAAAGUAAGAAGGAAUAACAUGAAAUUAUUGCAAAUUCAUAGAUUUACUUACAGUCACAAACCACAUGAAGCAUAAUAGUUUCCCAUCUUCAUCUUUAAAAACCUCAAAAGUGACAGGACAAAAAAAAAAAAAAAAGGGUGGGCGGGGGGUGAAAGGAAGAUAUUGAGUGGAGAGUGGGAAAUUCAAGCUUCUAUUGGCCUUGCCACAAUGGUGGAAUGCUUCAAGAUGUGCAAACUGAACUGCCCACCCUUUCCUGUGGUGUCAAGUUUGGCCUGUCCAGGAGGAGGGAGGAGCUCAAAAUUCUGAACCAGACGUCCAAUUGUGAUACCAAGAAUUGGCAGAGCAAGAAUGAUUCCAGGGCAGCUUCUUCUUCCAACACCGAACGGGAGGUACCUGAAGUCAUUGCCAUUGGCCUCAACCUUGGACUCCUCCUCCAGGAAUCUCUCUGGCCUGAACUCUUCUGGUUUUUUCCACUUGGAAGAGUCGUUAGCAAGCCACCAUGCGUUCACCAGGAUUUUGCUCUCAGCAGGAAUGUCAUAGCCACCGAGCUUUGCAUCAUUCAGAUUCAUGUGGGGGACCAGGAGAGGAAUUGCCAUCCUUAGCCGGAGAGUUUCUUUGAUUACAGCCUGAAGAUAUGGAAGCUUUUGGAUAUCAGGCUCGGUGACUUGGACGCCAGGUCCAAGCACAGUGUUCAGCUCAUCCCUGAGCUUCUUCUGGAUGUGAGGGUGGUUCACCAGCUCUGCAAUGCCCCACUCGAUUGACCACAACGUUGUUUCAAUAGCUGCAUACACAAAUUUUUCACAUUAACAUGGUUCCAGUCCCAACCCAUUUCUUAAAAUGUUAGGAAAGAAUCAUUUAAAAGGUAAACUCGGGUUGUUAGCCUGACAUGCAGUAUUGAUCCACAACCCAAUAAUCUAAAUCUUUACAGUUUAUUUGACUAUUUGACUUUAUGUCAUGGUCUGAGGUCGCCUAUGGAGGAAGUGUACAUUAUUCCCAGCAGCUUAACAAAAGAUGGGUCAACCCUUUUGUUUUAGAUCUCUAAUUGGGAACUUAAACAUAUGGUCUAGUUGAUGUUUCAUACCAUAUAAAAAAGAUAAUUGGAAAGGAGAUUUUUCUAUGGUAGAAAUGGCUUAAAAAGGGGUAGUUAAGUAGUUCAACGUCGGUAAAGAUAUGGUCAUGGUGCCAUGGGACAAAAUGGGAAGUCCAGAAAAACAAUAGGCCUCAUCUCAGUUUUUAUCGUUCUAUUCAUACUUUGAAAAGACACCAUCUGACAGCCAACCAAAGAACCAACCAUAAAGAGAUGUGGCAGUUCAUGAUCUCUCAAUCAUGCCAACCGAUGCUUAAAAGUUGACUAGUACCCAUUACAAAAGAACUCAUUUUAGAAACUCUUGAAGGGUUAAGAUAGAAAAAGUCAAGGUUUAGAAGUUUUCCAAGCCACAAGGGAGACAAAAUCAAGGUUCUCUCUCCUGUUUACUUUUAGUUAUCCUAAUGUGAGAAAGGGUACAACUUGGGCAACCAUACAAACAAGCAAUCAUAACACCAAAGCACAAACAGAGGCGCUCCGAUUGGGCUGUGGUAGGUGAGCUUGAAAGCUAAAGUAAACCCAACUCAACCCAAGCUUUUAACACCUAACCCACUUUUCUAAAUCAACCACAUGAGUUGAAUUGGGACAAACUAACAAUGAUGUCACGUGCACCCUAUCUCUCACUUGACAUUCAUCCCUUGGUGGUCUCCCUCAAAGCUUAUCUCUCUCCAUUAAUUUUUUUUGGUUUUUCAGAGGCUAGUAUAAGCUAUAGCUUAUCUUGCGCCAAUUGGACAGCGACUCCCAAUCUAUCCAUGGAGCCCAGUCCUGACCUUGUCCAAUAUAUAAAAUUGAAAAAUCAACUCCAAUCCACGGUGCAAAGUUGAAGUAAUCCUAAAAAGGAAUCUAACUACUCCCAUGGGAUCUCAUAUAAUUACUUACUCCCAUUGAGGCACGUAGCGCCCUUAUAUUCCAUGGGAUUGUCGGGUAAUGACCCUCUUACACCUCUUACUCCCGUGAGUCAAAGAUGGGCUCCAGGGUUUGUUUUUCUAUUUUUUUAUUAUUUAUUGUAAAUCUUUUAUUAAAUAAAAAAAAUCAAAAUAUAUAAUUUUUUUUUAAUAAAAAAAAUUAUAUAUUAGUUUUUUUAUUUUUUAAUACUUAAUAAAAAUAAAAUACUAUAAAAACAACCUAAUAUUUAAAUAUUAAAUUGAGUAAAAAAACAAUGAUCAUUUUCCAUGAUUGAAAAAGAGACUAAACGAUUUCUGACGCGAAGAACACAGACAAAUUUAUAGGAGACAAGUUAAGGGGGAAAGGGGAUAUACCAGCAACAUUGAUGUUCUCCACAAUGUAAAGGACGUUGUCCUCGUUGAUCUCACCCUUCUGCUGAGCAUCCAAAAUAUGAUCAACGGCGCAUUUCAGACUGUUGUGAUCUGUGCUCUUUGUGCUUGCCAGCUUCCUGCAGACCAUCACAGUUUCCAUUUUAGAUUUUCUUUUCUUGAUUUGUACGAAUAGUGAAGGUUGACCAUGUAAUUCACUUUCUACGUUGUAAGUGGAAAAUUUAUGGAUUUGGCUAAUUUUAACCCUAAAUCAGGUUCAAAAGAGGGAAAAAAAUCGAAUUUAUGAAUGGAGAAUCCUGAAAAAAUGGAAUAGAAAACUUACUUCCUCUCCUCAAGAAAAUGGUCCUUGAAGAGCUGCAACCUUCUCUCCUUAACUUCCUUGCAGAUUUUCAGGUAGCCUCUCAAAAAUGGUCUCAAAAUGGGAAUGAAGUCUCCAUAAUUGUACUCGAAGCUCUGAGCCAGUCUACUCCUCUCUCCGUUCAAGGCUUUGAGCUUCACGAACAACGGAUCCUCCUCACUAUCGAAUCUUCUAUCGAACAUGAUUCUAUACAUGUUGUUGUACAUCAUGAGCUGCAACCGUCUCCUCAGCACGAUUCCGUUGGUGGAGGCCUCGGGAUUCUUCUUCACGUCCUCAACCACACGCGCCGCCUCGUCCUCCCAUCCGACGCGGUACUGCUGAACUACCUUGUUGGUGAAGAAAGGGACGGUCAUGAUCCGCCGCAUCUUCCGCCAAUGCUCACCGUACACCGUGAACACCAUGUCCUGGCCCUUACCUGUGAAUAUGUCGAACACCACGUUUCUUGUGCGUGAUCCGAACUCCACUCCCUGAGUGUGCAAAACGUCCUUCGCCAGGUCCGGCGACGACACCACCACCAGGUUCCGCUGCCCCAUUCGCAGCAUGAAAAUGUCCCCGAAUUUCUUCGCUAAGUCGGAGAGGUUCAGGUGGUUCAAGUCAUCCCCAACCUGCAGCCAGUUCCCGAAAACCGGCACCGGCAGAGGACCUGGAGGCAGCUUUAAUUUCUUCCCCAGAAGCUUAGAGAUGGUGAUGGCCAGAAUUAUAGCGCAGAACACCGCUAACAGAGCUUUCUCUAUGAGUAUGAGAUCCAUGGUUGUGGCGGUGGAUGGUGCCUGAGGGCUGGUGGGUGGCGGAUGGUGGAUAUGGUUGAUGGUGGGUGUAGUGAUGGGCUUAUAUAGGGAAAUGAGUGAAGCAAUAGCGCCGGCUCGGGCUGACGGGAAUCGUUAGGUGGGAGUAGGCGAGUGCGAGGGAGUGGGUGAGAGUCCUAUAUUGACGGCGUGAAAUGUGACGGCGCUUUUGAGGGGUAGGUCCGCCAGAUUCAGGGUGACGAGUUUGAAGGGAGUAGGUAAGGGGGUGGGUGGAGCGAAAGCGUCAAAUUGAUGGACCUUUCAAAGUGAAGGAGCUCCUAUCCUCUGCGUACCCCCACCACACUCCAACUAUCCUUCUAAUCCAAUGGCUCUCAUUUUAUUUUUUCACGUGACCAACCUACUCAUAUGUUCUAGCACUACACAUUAUAAUAAUUUUGUUUAAAUAGUUUUCGUGCACAAGGAGUUUUAAAAUCUCAUCCAAUUACUGCUUGCGCCAGUUAGUAAUAGUGGGUCCUAUAACAUUAUGUGGCAGUGACUGGUGAAUUGCGGGGAAUUUGGUUUUGAGGCUGAGGAGGAUUUGCCACGGUUUCCUUAUUCGUUGCAUCAUGGAUUUCCUACCAUUAAUACUUGUGACAUUCAAUAUUUUCCAUUCUUCAAAUUAUUUAGAAUAAUAAUUGGAUAAUUCCUUUUAAUCUAUUCCACCUGAAAUUAAGAUAAAUAUAAAAAUUUUGAGAUUCAACUCACUUGUUAAACUCAAGUCCUAAAUCUAAAUCAAUUCAAUUUUAAGAUCCCACUCUUCUACUAUAUUUGAUUUCUAAAAAAUCAAUGAAAAUAAAAAAUAAAUUUAAAAUUAAUAAAUUAUUUAAAAUUAUAUUUCCACUACAUAUAUCAAUAAAUUUGUAAUUCUCAAAUCCUUUUCAUAAAUAUUUCUAUUUUUAAUUUUUUGAUAAUCAAGGUAAAUUCUUGAACAAAAUUGCUAGAUAAUUAAUUAUUUAAUAUUCAAUCAAUUGAAAAUUUUAACUAGGUUCGGACAAUAAUCUAACUCUGACUCACUCUCUUUUUUUUGCCCCUUUUUUUGGCUUUUACAUUAAAUCUAAGUGGUUGCCUUCCCAUGGCACUAAACAUUGUUGUGUAAAUUAAGCCAAUUUGAUAGGAAUAAAGUCAGCCAAAUGCCAUCAGAAAUGCCUCUGAUGGGCCUAAAAUUGGCCAAUUACAAUUACAAUUACUCGAACAAACAAGGCUUACUCAUGCACGAAAUCAAUAGCAUCUUUGCCAGGCCCGAAACUUUGAAAAUUCAAAGCAAAUGUAAUAUUUUUAAGUUUAUGUCGGACAAUGACACUUUUGAUCUUUUUCCCUUUUCAACCUUUACACUCCAUAAAUUUGAUAUUCAAAAAGCUUUAAUUUUUAAACGAACGGCAUGGACUACAUCAACUCCUCUUUUUUUUAUUAUUAUUAUAAAACUUUAAAAAAGAUGGAGAUUUUGUUGGAGAAGUACAAAUAAGAGAAAACCUCCAAAAGUCAACUACAGGCGCCCUCUUUGGCUGCCUGGUUUGAGUCAUGGGUCAGUUUUGGGAACUACCUUAUAGGUACCGCGUGCCAUCUGCCGGCAAAUCUCAUCCUCCGCUCAUUUCUUACCUUAUAAUCCUGCAACCAUCUCCUUUAUUAAACUAUAUAUUCUAUCGCUUUCAUGGUUCCGUAAAUCAAAUAAAAAAAACGCGAAAAUAUUAUAGUUUUUUCCGCUGCCCUAUUCUUUCCCUACGUCAUGGCUUUUACUAUAUUAAAGUAUUGGAAAUGAGCAAAUGAGUAUUGUUAUCGUGGCACCUAUCAAUACUCUUUUGGUAACGUAUCCCCAUUAAAUCUAGUUUUGACAUCACGUUGAAAAAUCAAAAUUUUAAAAUCAGUGAUCUUUUGGUAACGUAUCCCAUUAAAUCUAGUUUUGAUGUCUUGUUGAAAAAUCAAUUUUUAAAAAAAGUUAAAUUUAUGAUAUAUUAUUUUGAAUUUAACUAGAAAAAGGCUCGUAAUAAAAUUUGAUCAUCCCCUAAUGCGGGCAUUUACUAAUCUCAAGGUUUAGAGCGAUAAAACCUAACCAUCACACAUAAUACUUAUUUGUUAAUAUGUCAAUUUUUAUAUUUACACUUACAUUCAAGAAUUUAUAUUUUAUUUUAUAUGCAAGUGACGACAUUGUUGAAAGAAAUAUGUGAUCAAACCAAUACAAUAUACCUUUCCUCAAAAUUGGAGGCUAGGUAGCCAAAUGAAUGUGGAUUAUAAAAAGGAAAGAGAGGGCAAAGCAGAUGGGAAGAGAAUGGAAGGAGACCACUUCUAAGGCCUACCUACUACCGUGGAUAGAGACGUAAUCAAAUAUCAUACCUAACCCCCAACAAAGAGACCACGAGCAGUGCCUCAAGCUACCUCCACCACCGCCCCCCAUUUUUAGUGAUCAAAUUUAGCCACGUCAUCUUUAUGUCAAUAAUCCUAUUUUCCUACGUCAUCUAUCGUUCCACAGUGGCAUGGUUUCCUCUUCCGUGGGCUAUCAAACUUGGACCGUCCACCUUGGCUGCAGCAUUAUUUGUUUUUCUCAUUUAUUGCACAAUUUAAAACCUUAUCUGGGUUUGGCGGGUUCUGCAAAUUGCAAUUACUAGCCUCCAGUGAGAGUCUUCCAAGUUAGAACCAAUGAGAAUUGGCCAAUGCCAUAUGAGUUUUCUUUUAUAUUUAUUAUAUAUUGUAUAAACAUUAUUAAAGUAAUUUAUGAUUAUUAAAUUAUGAUGAAAUUAAUUUUUAAACAUAUUUAUUAUAUUUUAGGUUAAAAAAUUUAGAUAUAAUAUGAAUUUCAAAUCCAAAGUGAUUUUAAUUAACGUACAUGUUAAUUUCCAUUCAAUUUUUUUAUUAUCUAAAUUAAAUCAAAUCAAUUUUAAAUAAACUUGAUUUGGUUUUAUGUUUCCAUUAUUAAAAGGUUGGUUCGAUUUUGAUUCAAAUAAAAAUCGACUAUGCCCCGAUUUGAUUAAUUUUUCUUUAAUAAAAAUUAAAAGAUAUCAUACUUUAAUCAAUCUUGCAAAAAUAAUUAUAAUGGUAAGGUGGAAUUUUGCAAGUCUCCAUCAAGAUUGUGAAAAAUGAUUUAUUUUUGGUACCUUUCGACCAAUAAUACUACUAACUCCCUUCCAUCUAUAAUAAUGAAUAUUUGUCUCCCUAGGCGAUCUCUAAUAAUCAAUGUGGCGUCUUCUCUAGGUGAGUCCCCAUCAGCACAUACGCUCCACAUAUUUUUUUUUUUUGUGGGACAAUAAAGAAAAACAUUUUCCCAUGACUAAUGACUCGAUAUAAAGAGCAACUCUUUUAUAUCCUUUUGAGCCGAUGGAAACUUUGAUUAUAUCCCAAAAAAAGUCCUCCUCCCUUUUUCUAUGAUCAGGAUCAUUAAUAACGUUAAUGGUAUCGCUAGAGGUAGUGGGAUUGUAACUUCUUUUUGUAAUGAUCGGAUCAUAUUAUGUUUUUGAGCGGUAUGGAAACUAUAAGUAGUAGGACUAUAACUUAGUUGAUUUUAUGUAAUCAACUCCAUAUUUAGAUUGAUAUGGGUAAAAAUUGAAUGGGUUAGGUAGGGGCUUAAAGCUUUUAAAAAUCAAUGAGCAUAUAUUGAGGAGAGCAUUUUAUAACCUUGGUUUUGUCGGAGAUUACGAAAUCGAGGUUUGGUUCAUUUCAAUUUUAAUAAGAACAAAACAAGGUUUAAAAUUAAUAUUUUCUUUUUAAGUAUGUUUUAGCUAAUAAGAUUUUUGAAGUGGCAAUUAUAAGGACAAAUCAAAUUUAAAAAAAAUAUAUAAAAGACGAGUUUUCAAGACUUUGUCUAUAAUAUUUUGUAAGGUUGAUAGUAUACUAGGAUUAUGCAUUAUAUCUUUAAGCACAAAAAAUCAUCAAAGUAUUAAUUUGUUUUAAAUUAUUUUAUAAUAGGAUGAUCUCAUAUUUCAAUUAAAACUACGUGUUAAAUGUUUUUUAAAUUUGCUUUAAAAGGUUUUACAAAAUAAAAUACAAGUUACUAAAUGAUUCAAACCUCAAAUUAGGGCAUUUUAUGCACUUUAUAGUACAAGGCAGAGAGGAAUUGGUUGAGCCAAUUGACUCAACAUGUUGAAGUACACUUGUACACUUUUUCUUCCAAUAAUAUGUACUCAAUUAAUUGAGGUUAAGCCUCAAUAGGACUAGUUAAGAUCUUAUUGAAGCCCCAAAACCCAACUAUCACAUAUCAUAAGUAUUAAUUGCUAACAACUAAUGAAUUUCAAUUAAAUUGAUGUGUGGACCCCGCAUUUCGAUUGCGCUAUGCGUUUCCCACUCGAUGGCGAGCUCGAAUUUUAAUUUGAAAAAUUGAUUUAUAUUGAUUAUGAAAAUGACUUGGAGUCGCCACUUAUUUUUGUUUUAUUUUUAAAGGGUAAACAAAAUAAGAAAGAAAAACCCUAAGUGUGACUCCUUAUUUUGGAAAAGGUGGUCUGUGAAAAACCAGAUCGGGUUCGGGGGUCAGGUUACUUAUCAGGAAGGUACGGUAAAAACCGUAGCACCCUUCUAAGUCCCUAAAAAUGGGUCUCUACUAAUAAAAUGAAGCAAUCAUGGCAAUUGAUGAGGAAAUCAAUGAAUACUCAGAGUGAUCAUGCACACGUGAGAAUUUAAACAUGCAUAUCGAAAAUGACUAGAGCGGAUGUAGAUGCGUACCUGGGCAGUGAUCCAUGAAGCGCUAUCAAGAAGUGACGUUAGUGCACAAUUAAGAAAUAAUAGCAUGCACGUCGUAGAGCAGAAUAAAUAAAUAGCGCGUGACAAACAAAUCAAUCAAUCAUAAAAUCACGUAUGUGGGGCCCCCACCAAAGCCCGAUUGAUCUUGCACGAAUUAAUCUCACAAAUUCCAUUGUUCUGAAAUUAUGAAAAUGACAUUCACGCUUAUAUAAAAUUAAGAGAAAAAGAAGAUUAUUUGAAAACCAAAGUGGAAUUAAAACUAUUUGAGAGAAAAUUAGAUUUUUGAAAUUUAAUUGAAAAAUUGGAAUCUCGAAGAUCACUAGAAAAUUGGAGUUUUAGAGUUUAUUUGGAAAUUAGAUUUUUAGUGAUUGAAUGUGAGAAUGAGAAUUUUUAGAAAAUGAAUUUGAAAGAGGUUAGAAUUUCAGAGAACUAAAUUUGGGAAUUGGAAUUUUGAAGAAUUAUUUAAAGAUGGAAUGUCGGAAAAUUAAAUUUCGAAAAGUGGAAACCCGAAAAAUUAUUUUAAGGAUGGAACGCCGGAAAAUUAAAUUUCGAAAAGUGAAAACCCGAAAAAUUAUUUUAAGGAUGAAAUAUCGGAAAAUUAAAUUUCGAAAAGUGGAAACCCGAAAAAUUAUUUUAAGGAUGGAACGCCGGAAAAUUAAAUUUCGAAAAGUGAAAACCCGAAAAAUUAUUUUAAGGAUGGAAUAUCGGAAAAUUAAAUUUCGAAAACCCGGAAUAUUUAGAGAAUUACUUUGAUAUCCAAAACGUGAAGAAAUAAUAAAAGAAAUGUGAAUUGUGGUCAUCUUUAAGUGCACGUCUCCAGUGUAAUGCCCAUAAACCCAUUUUACAUAUUUUAUUUUAUUUUUUACCACCUGAGCAAACAACUUUUGCAUGAAGAUUGAUGAGUGGGUAUUGAAGAAUGAUGACAUGGGCAAGGUAAUGGAAUCAGCCACUAGCAGGAAAUAAAUAAAAAAUGAAAAUCCUACAGACCCAUUUAAUUCGACAUCAAACCAGAAAGCAAAACCAUGCAUUAAACCCUACUCACCACCUGCAUCCUCCUCCUUGGAUCCUUUUAAUCGCCUUUUCAUCCACAAGGAUAGAACCAAACCAGUCUCAUUCUCAUUGAGGUCCAAAACAGAGCAUCCAUGAACACAGUCCGGUUAACAAACUCCUGCUUCAUUUGAACCAAUGCAUGGCUCCAGCUAUUUUAUCAAUUACAAGAAGCCAAACUCCAUUUCUGGGACCUUCACUCGUAGAAGGAAACCUCAAGUGUGGGAGCCAAAAACAGAGAUUCGGAUGGAAACACCCACACACAUAAUAGGGAAAAGGAAGCAGAGAAUACAAUGGAAUGAAGCUUUAAAAAAGGAUAAACAAAGACCAAACACCCAACAAAUAUGAAGAAACCUAUUUCAUUUUUCUUUAUCCGUGGGUUUGAAGGUCGAUGGAUUAAACUAAGAAGACAUCUUAAGAGACAAAAUAAAUCCAAGAUACAAGAAAGUUUUCAAAUAUCUAACAACCAAACCAAGCACAGUCAGGUUAUCCUUGAAUGAAACCAGAGAAAUAGAGAAUGGAACCACAAUAACCAAAUCAAAACAACCUCACAAACAAUGCAAGAUGAUCACAUGAACCAGAAAAUAGAGAAGCCUGAUGAUUAUUAAUAGCCUAUGAACCCAAAGAAUCUUACCUAGUCGUGCUCCCCUCAAGUAGAAAUUUGAUUGGCUUCAAACCAACCUUCUCUGCUCAGUUCUGGCUCCCUAAAAAAUCCCUCCAAACGGCAGCCAAUAGCACCACUCCCUCCCACAGUUUGCUGCUCUUAGCUCUACAAAUACUCUCUCUCUCUAAUGAAAACCCCCCUCCCAAUCUCUCCUACUCUCUGCUUUUUUCUUUUUUUUUUUCUAGCCGUCGCCUACCUUCUCGGGCAAGCCAUUACCUGCUUCCCUGUUCAUCUCUCAGCCGGUAUGGGCUCCUCCAACUCCAGCAUGGCCUCUGCCACGUCUCUUUCUCCCCUCCCAUCUGGUGGUCCCCCCUUUGUUUAAAAGAGAAAUACCCAGAAGAGAGAAAAAAACUCUCCCCCCGGGCCCCUCAUAAAAGGGGGUCUACAUGAUGUUUGACCAAACGAACCCAAAUUGUGCAUAAUGACUAAUUUGACUUUCCAACUCCUAUAAAAAUAAAAUAAAAAAAAAAAAAAAUCCUCCAAAUUUCAUUCUUUUGUAAACUUAAUAUCGUAAUUUAAAAAAAAAAUAUAUUUGAACCUUGGGGAGUGUUUUAUAGUGUACAUUGUUUCAAAACUUGUAUAUCAUUAGUACACUAUUAAAUCUUAAUUUAUCUUGUAUUAUUUGAGCAUAAAUUUUAUAUUAGGGUUUUAUGAGAAUAUUUUCUAUCAUUUCCUAUAAAGAUUUUGAGAGGGAAAUUUAAGUGUCGAGGUAUCACUUAGGGAUUUUGGGUAUCACUUAAAGGAUUGUUUAAAACUAUGUAUAUUUUGAGGAUUGUAAAAGUUGUUUGGAACCAUUAGUUCAAGAGGGUUCAUUUGAACCAUAAUCAAAUUGUAAAAUUUAGAGGUUUAGGUUAUAAGCUUUGAAAUAGUGGAUCCUUAUUCGGUUAAGAGUUUGAGAAGAGUAGAUGUAAGUUAAGUUGUACUAAACCAACAUAAAAACGAGUAUUUACAUUUUCUUUUAUCCAUUCUCUUUAUUUUAUAUACGAUUACUUUUCAUUGUAUUUAUUUCAUAUUUGUAUAUAAUUAUCUUUUAUAUUCACAUAAUUUGAAUUUUAUCUAUAUAGUAAAGGAAAACAAAAAUAUAGAGAAUAGUAAUAAAGUAGAAAAAAAUCUUAAUAAUUAUGAAUAUUAUUAAUUUAAAAAAAUCUAAAUGUUUAAUAUUAUUACUAGACUUUUAUAUUGCUUAAUAAUCAUAACGCUAAUUCGACAUUAAAAGAUGAUAAUCAAAAUAAUUGUAAGUAUUUUUUAUUUUUUUUUAAAAAAAGAAAGAAAAAAGAUAAAAAUAGAGACAUGCAAACAAUAGGUUUGGCAAUUAAUUAUGUCCAUUUUUUCAUACUUCAAUAUACUAAUUCCAAAGUUUUCUUUAACUAAAGUCUUCAAUGCUUUACACUUGAUUCAAAUAUGUAAUAUCUUUACAAUUCCUUCAAGUGAUUUGUCAUGUUUGAAAAAAAGUUUUCAUAUUUUAUAAGUUCAAAACACUUAAAUGGUGAGGUUUUUUGUUUACAAAUUGAGACUUAGUACGAUGAAAAAAUACGAUUAGCAAAAGAAAGGAUGGUGCAAGAAAAGAGACCUUUGCAAGCUCUUUAAUUAGUUUGUAUGAUGAUUGUUGAAUGUUGGUGAAACCAUAAUUGUUCAAUUUAUUUAUUUUUUGUUUGUCAAGAAAAGAGACCUUUGCAAGCUCUUUAAUUAGUUUGUAUAAUGAUUGUUGAAUGUUGGUGAAACCAUAAUUGUUCAAUUUAUUUUUUUUUUGUUCGUUAGUUUUUGUUUUGAUUUUAGAUUUUUUCCCAUACUUGAAACUAGUCACGGGCCAUAGUUUCGAGUCAACUCAUUGACUAGAUGAUAAAUCAAAGAACUAGUGAUUUGGUUAAAAAUAUAUAUGGAGAUGACCAAUGGAUUGUGAAAAUCUUGAAUGAUAUUUGAUUAGUUGAGGUAAAACCUUAACCACUUCAAUACAACACCGAGGGUUACUGUUUGAAAAGUUUGCACAACACAACUCAACUCAACUAAUUGAGAUGAAACUCGAUUAGUUGAGCUUUGCCCUUACAAAAAUACUAAAUCGAUUGAUCGUUACUUUUUACACUUUUUUAAUUUUGAAAAUUUUCAACUUUUAAGCUCAAAAACACUUAGGGAACAAUCAAUAUAUAUUCCUAUAAAUUUAAAGAAAUCCAUUUAAAGAUAAAACAAUGAACCAAUAUUGGUAUUUUGUCAUCAAGUUUUUUUAAGUGUUUGAGUCAAUUUAAAAACCAAUUAGAUAAUGUUUUCCCGCAAUUAUACCCCACUCAUCAUCCAAUUAUCCAAAAUCUCCUAAAUCAAAUCAUCUUCAACCUUGGUGGAUUCUCCAUGGAGCACAAUCAUAAUUUCUUUCUUCCAUUGUUAGAAGAUUACCAUAUAUUUAAAUACCAUAUAAAGUUUUUAAAGUAUUUUCUAUCUUUUCAAUUAUUGUUAGAAGAUUCUAUUCAAACAACUUAAAAUACCUCAAAAUUGUUCUAAAAUAACCUAUUUUUAGAAUAAAUUAUGAAAAAUUAUAGAAAAACUAUUUUCUGUCCAAAAUUCACCAAAUGGAUGCACUAUGGGAACGCAAGUACUUUGGAAGACCAUUUCAUGGGCCUCUCUCCCCGCUUGAUCCAGUUAUAUUGCAAAAUAUGGGCUAACUUCAACGGGACCAAAAUACUAACAGUUACGAUGUUCAAAAUGGCCCAAAAUUUUCAGGCCCAUUUCUUUCAGCCCACAAAGUUGCUGAGACAGAGGUAUCAUAUACUUGAUAUAGUUUCAGGCUUUCACCAUCAUCCUUAGCUCAGAUUAGCACGAAGCCACGAGCCCUUCCCUCGGCUGCUCACACGCACUCUCUCUGUCAAUAUACGUUUCCUUCUCUCUCGGUCUCAAGCAAUGUCUUAUGUGCCACCGCACCUGAGGAACCCUUCUUCUUCUAUCUCUCGAACCUCCAAACCUACCGAAACCUCCGCGGUAACCCUAGACGACACUCAUCGCACCACCAACAACCUUUCCUAUUCCUCCACAAACUCUCAUCUCUCUCAUUCCAACGCCUCUUCCUCUCCUUCUCUCUCUCGUUGGGCCUCCUCCAAUGCCGCCGCCGUGCCUCGGACUCCCUCCGUUCCGGAGCCCGUUUUCCCUCAGUGGAAGCCUUCCGACCGUGUUUUCCUUAUGAAACCUGAACAGGUUUGAUGUUUAUGGUUCUCUGAUUGAUUUUUUUUUUUGGCUAUGGUGGUUUGAGUGGGUUGUUGCUUGAAUUAAUUUCACUACUAUGCUAAUUUUGGCGUUCUUUUUGGAGUUGUUGUUGUGUUGUUUUGUGGCCCUGUUUGGUUGCUGAGAUAAUUAUGAAUGAGAAGGGGAAAAGUCAACGUUUCUUUUAUUGUUGUUUAGUUGGAAGAAAAAAGAGAGCUUAAGUUACAUCAGUCAAAAAAUAGUCUUAGAAAACUUAAGUGAGAUGAUUAUUCUGUUUUUGGAGGAGCCGAAGCAGUGGAUAGUGUAAGAUUCAAUUAUCCUUUGGAAAAUUAUAUGAUUCUGAUUCUGUAAUAUAUAAAGAAUGUGACUUAAGAAAAUGUCACUGAAUAUGACCAAGGUUCAAAAAAUGUGGCAUAAUUAAGGAAAAAUGUGACUUGGGCAGUGAGAGAGCUCAAAGAGGUAUGACACCACCAAAAAUUUGAUACUUUUUGUUCUCAUGGUCUGCUCGUUGUCCUCUCCUUCAGUUUUCUGCCUGAUUCUCAACAACCAACCGGAGUAUCAUUUUUUGUUAAUUUUAGUCAUUGCGUUAUAUUUGGACUUGAAGGCAAUAGUUAGUUUAUGGUUCAAUGUUUCAUUUGUGCUCUAAAACGUAUUUUCUGCCUGAGAUUCUUUUGGUUGAAUUAUAAUCAUUUUUGUAUUCUGAAAUUGGAGAAAUUGGAAUAUUGGCAUAUUCAUCAAAGCGAUCAUUUGAAAUAUUGAAUUUGAAUUAAUGUUUUUGUUAUCUUGGCAUGAUGCAUUUACAUACAGAUUGAAGAGGUCCGAUUGCGGCUUAAUGUUGAUGUUACUGUUGCUCCAGACUUGCCUCCUGCACCUGCACCAAUUGAAUCAUUCACAGACAUGGUAAAUUUGUGCAUUUAUGUGUCUUGGUGAUAUGAUCAAAGCUACUUUAAUGAGGCAGCAAUAAAAUCUCAAGUUAAGAAAAUAUGGUUUUUUAUUUUUUCAGGGUCUGCACCAAAGCAUCAUGAAGGAUAUUACCUUUCAUGAAUAUACUAGGCCCACCUUUAUUCAAGCUCAGGCCAUGCCAGUUGCUCUCAGCGGAAGGGAUCUCCUGGGAUGUGCUGAAACUGGUAGUGGAAAGACUGCUGCUUUUGCUAUUCCUAUGAUUCAGGUCUUUAUUUCAUGAUUUUAAUGGACUAUUAUGAACUUUAUAUUUUCUUUUGAGUUUUAGUGUUUGCUUGGAAAUUGAACAAUUGGAUAUAUAUCUGGCUAAUUGAUGGUUUUCUGCCUUACUUUUCUAUCUUCCAUUUCCAAUUUUGCAGCAUUGCUUGGCUCAACCUCCUGUUCGGCGAGGUGAUGGACCAUUGGCAUUGGUCUUGGCUCCCACAAGAGAGCUUGCCCAACAAAUAGAAAAGGAGGUGCCAACUAUUUUUUGUGAAUAGAAGAUGAAUGCUGUUGUUAGGAUUAUCUAAGUUUCAAACUGUUGGCAGUAAUAGUUCAUGUUUUUUCUUCUAAACCACAUUAUAACGAUGCUGCAAGUGUUUGUCAAAAUUGAAUUCACAUUUGGUUCUUAAUUAUGUUUGUUAGUUUUAAUCUAGAGCGGACUUCAUGUUGCCAACCCAAUUAGAUGAACAAAGACAUUUUGGCGUGUUGAAUUGUUAUAUGUUUAUUAUUCUCGCCAUUUUGUUCUUUGUUUUUGCUGAACGGAUACACAAAAGCACUCUCUCACAUUCUUCAUUAUAUUCUUUGAUCUCGAUUACUUUUUUAUUAGAUAUGAAAGUUAUAUUAAACUGGCAUGCAUUCGUUGGAUUUUGUUUACUUCUGAAUAUGAAUAUUUAUGCAUAAAUAGGACCCAAUAACAUUUUCUCCAAAUUCUUUAGAACCUUAAAGCAAACUAGGAUUAUUUCCUUUAUUAGUUUCUUUGGUCAAUUUGGAAAUGGAAUUAAUAUGUCUGAACCAUGAAAGCUGAUAAUUCUUGAGUAUGCCAGGCUUAUCUAAGAAGGGUUAGCUUGGUGAAUGAUGAGAUCAUUCUUUUAUUGCAUGUGGUCUAGCACAUCAUAUCAUUUUAAGUAUUGUUUUUCAAACUUGGUUUUUAUUUUAUUUUAUUUUAUUUGAAGGGUGAGCACAUUUUUCCUUCUCUUUUGGGUUUUAUUCUCUACAUUUGUGGGAAUGAAUAAGAACCAAUAUUAUCAUUUAUUUAGGAUUUAUGAGAUGAAUAAUUUAGCGAGAUUUUUUUCUCCUUGAAUUAUGAGUUGUAUCUUUUGAUUUACAUUUAAUAUCUGAUCUAUUUUGAGAUCAUCUUUCGUUCUCAAAUUACCAUGUUGAGCAAUCUGAUGUCUCCUGUCCAGGUUAAGGCUUUUAGUAGAUCACUUGAUUCCUUUAGAACUGCGAUAGUUGUGGGUGGAACAAACAUUUCCGAGCAGGUGACCAAUUUUGUCUUGAUAAUUUCAUUUCAUAAUGGUUUUUGAAAAUUGAAAUCGUUGUCCUAGUUUCUCCUUAUUCAUUUCUGAGCAGGACUGCAGGAGAACAAAAGGAAAAAUUUAUGUCCUGUCUCUUCUUAUUGCUGUUUACAUUUCAUUUCCUUGGUGCAGGAAAAAAUGGUUUCCAAUCCUAUCUUAUAUACGCAUAUAUGUUUUGUUGGUUUCUUUUGUUGCUUGACACCAAACAGAGGUCUGAACUUAGAGCAGGAGUAAAUAUAGUGGUUGCCACUCCUGGAAGAUUCAUUCAUCAUUUACAAGAAGGAAACACGUCUCUUUCCAGAAUUUCAUUUGUUGUUUUGGAUGAAGCUGACAGAAUGCUUGACAUGGGAUUUGAACCACAAAUAAGAGAGGUAUAUUACAUGCCAAUCCAUAUACUCACAUUUUUAGAUUUUCCCCACUUGCUUAUAUCAUUGCUACUUAAGAGGCUCUGCCUUUAUUUAGUUCAUUUUAUGCUCCAGUUCCUAGUGUCUCUCUUUUCUUUGUAAGCAUGUUAAUCUAUCUAUACAUUUUGUGUCCUUCCUUUUCCUUGCUUUUGCAAUGUUUUGCAUGCUUUAAUAAAAAAACAUGCAAUCAGUUUACUUGCAUUUGGUUGCAACCUAUCAUCAUCUCAUUCUCAGCAUAUGGUCUGUGAACCUUCUGGAAGAAGACAUUUUACACUCCCUUUCAUUCCAUUUCAGGUGAUGCAAAAUCUGCCACAAAAGCAUCAAACACUGCUGUUCAGUGCAACCAUGCCAAUGGAGAUUGAAACAUUAGCACAGGUUGGGAGUAUUUUCUGUUUCACAUCAUGGUGAUCUUGUCAAGAAGUUGAUUCCAUUUUUUAUUGCCUCAUGCUCAAAUUGAACCCAGAGUUUGUGUUAAACUUGUACUGUGAAGUUUUUACAUCUGAUGUAAGUCCAUGCCUUGUCCUCCUGAUUAAGAGUUUCAUCCAAUAUCCUCUAGAUGUCCCUCUGGAAAGCAUCUGAACUCAAUAAAUAAGGUUCUGCUGUAUAUUUGCCUUUUUUUUUUCUCCCUUCUUUGCUUUCUUUUUGUGGGAUAUGAUCAAGCACUUAACCUUGGAGUUCGAGAAAACUGAGUCUGACUUUGAAAUCAGUGUAAUUGAAUGCUCCUAUAGGUUCCAAAAGUACAUUAAAAGAAAAGUACAUUCCCAACUUUGGCAGUGCUUUCUUCUGCAUAAUGUGGAUUUCCCACUUUUUCUGAUUUUUAAAAAUCUUUCUGGUGUUAAAAUGAGCCUACAAACAAUGGAUGCUUCUGAGAAGAGGUAUCAAAUGCCUUUCUCAUUUUGGUGUUAGCGUGUGUGGCACCUCCAAGAUGACAUUGUUAAGUCUUGUAAAAAUUAAGCAAAAUUUUUUUAGAAGUUGCUCUGAGAACGAUUAUGUCUUCUUUUGUAUUUAUUUGGAUUGAUUUUGAUGUUAGCAUGAAGUAUUUUGGCAUAAUUUGACUUUAUUUUUUUGUGCCGUCUUAGGAGUAUCUAAAUAAUCCUGUGCAAGUAAAGGUGGGAAAAGUGAGUUGCCCAACAGCAAAUGUUUCUCAGAUUUUGGAGAAGGUUUCUGAAAGUGAGAAGGUAUGCUUAUUUUGGCACUUGAUACAUUUUUUCUUUCCUGAAAUCUCACUUAGUUCUCCUCUAAUUUUUUAAUCACAAUUUUCUGAUCUUACACACGAGUCUUUUUUAGGGGAGGAGCUUGGACAUGUUCUUUUGUUCUUCAACAUGUAUGCUUCAAGUUCUAUUACUUGGAGUCCCAUUAUCACUUUUAGUAUUUAUCCUUGUCUAAAUUAACAAGUUAGAUUUCUAAAUGGAAGGUCAAUCCUAAAUUGGGUAUGAAUCUGGAGAUAGAGGUUAUUUGCUUGUAAACUUGUAGCUGGAUGAAUGACUUGAGAGAUAUGAUGUGUAGUGAUAGCAAGACUAUACAUUAUAAGGCUAAUCAAAUUAGACACUUAGAACUUACUGGCAUACUGCAAUUGUUGCAGUCAGUACUUGUUCUUGGUGGUUUUUUAUUUUUUUCAUUUUUUCAAAAAUUUGUUUUGUUCUUUUGGGAAAUUAAAUGGGUUAUGAGCCUCCAUGAAGACUUGUUUCUUUCAUUUAUUGCUAUGUAUGAGGAAAGAUUGUGGUGGACACCAGGCUUGAUGUUGUAUAAAGAUAAGUUGACCACAACAAAUUUUCUUCUAUGCUUUUUCUGGGCUUGGAAGUUCCUUUAGGACAUUUAAAGAAGAGAUGAUAUUUGGAGUAGUUGAGGUUGGCCUUUUCCUUGGGGUGGGGAUGGCUGCAGCAAGGAAAACUUACAGUCCCAUCCUUGAUCCUCCAAUUCAAAACAUUUAUCAGGUUUAUACUCUCAGCAAUGGUUUAGGGCAUCAGUGCUAGCUUUUAUAAUGGUGAUGAGACUUGGUAUUGGAAGAUAUUCUAUGAUAAGCAUAGACUACUGCAUAAAAUAAUCCAAAAUGGAUUGUAGGGUACAAAAAAAAAAAUAUAGUAUGCCCUAGCUAUGAUACUUAUAGCUAGCAUUUGUAUUGUCAAAAUAUUGUGUGAAUGGCCAAAUACCUUUGCCUUGAGUUUUGUAUAUUAUAUGUAGACUUUACAAGGAUGUUAUACAUGGAAAGCAAAUAAAAGCAAAUAAAUUCCCGCAUGAUUCUUUGGCUGAGGAGCAAGAGGUGAAGGAGGGGAUUGUGAAUGCUUUUCAGCAUCAGCUCUUGGAAGAGCCAGGAUGGAGAGCUGGCAUUGAGGGGCUGCACCUUCAAUGUCUAAACCACAGUGAAGCUGAAGCUCUGGAGAUGCCUUUUACUGAGGAAGAAAUUUUCUUAGCUCUGAUGGAAAUGAACGGAGACAAGGCUCCGGGCCUGGAUGGGUUUACUGUGGCCUUUUGGCAAUCUUGUUGGGAUUUUGUGAAGGAGGAGGUUGUAGAGCUGUUUAAGGAAUUUUAUGACCAGAAAUCUUUUGCUAAAAGCCUAAAUACUACCUUCUUGGUCCUCAUCCCAAAAAAAGGUGGGGCUAAGGAUCUCGGGGAUUUUCGGCCCAUCAGCCUUUUAGGGGGGCUAUGCAAGCUUCUGGCCAAAGUGCUGGCCAAUAGGUUGAAGAAGGUGUUAGGUAAGGUGGUCUCGGCGGAUCAAAAUGCAUUUGUGAGGGGAAGACAGAUUCUGGAUGCCUCUCUCAUAGCUAAUGAGGUGGUUGAUUAUUGGCAGAAGCGGAAAGAGAAAGGGCUGGUUGGCAAACUGGAUAUUGAAAAAGCCUAUGAUAGUAUUAAUUGGAACUUCCUCAUGAAGGUUUUGCAUAAGAUGGGCUUUGGGUCUCGUUGGAUGGAGUGGAUUCGGUGGUGCAUCUCAACUGCAAAAUUUUCGGUUCUUGUCAACGGGGUGUCAGUAGGCUUCUUUUCCAUCUCUAAGGGGCUGCGUCAAGGAGAUCCCAUUUCUCCUUACCUUUUUGUUUUGGGUAUGGAAGUGCUGAGUGCACUCAUAAGAAGGGCUGUUGAGGGGGGCUUCAUUUCUGGUUGCAGACUUCGAGGGAGAGGGGGGAUGGAGAUGAAUGUGUCCCACUUACUCUUUGCCGAUGACACAAUCAUCUUUUGUGAAGCAAGGAAGGAGCAUCUAACUCAUCUUGGUUGGAUUUUGGCGUAGUUUGAGGCGGCUUCUAGUUUUAAGAUUAAUCUGGCCAAGAGUGAAUUAAUUCCUGUUGGGGAGGUUGAAGAUAUUGAGGAAAUGGCUGUGGAGUUAGGGUGCAGAGUGGGGGAUUUUCCUGUUAAGUAUUUGGGGCUGUCCUUUGGAGCCCAUCACAAGGCCUUGUCUAUGUGGGAUGGGGUGGAGGAAAGAACGAGGAGAAGAUUAGCUCUUUGGAAAAGGCAUUAUUUGUCUAAGGCCGGGAGAAUUACCCUCAUUAAAAGUACAUUGGCCAAUAUUCCUAUCUACCAAUUGUCCCUUUUCCGAAUGCCCAAGUUAGUGGUAAAAAGGCUUGAAAAAUUACAAAGAGAUUUUCUUUGGGGAGGGGGAAGCCUGGAAAGGAAAAUCCACUUAAUCAAUUGGGAGGCGGUGUGUACUCAAAAGGAGAAAGGGGGUCUUGGCAUUCGGAAGAUUGUUUUAUUGAACAAGGCUUUGCUGGGUAAGUGGAUUUGGAGAUUUGCCUUUGAAAAAGAUUUACUUUGGAAGAAGGUGAUCGGGGUGAAGUAUGGCCAAGAGGGAUGUGGUUAGAGAACUAAUGAAGCUCGUGGUACUUUUGGAGUGGGGGUUUGGAAGGAGAUCCUGAAGGAGGCAAGUUGGUGUUGGGAUAACAUUGAGUUCAAGGCGGGGAGGGGGACUAAGGUCAAGUUCUGGACUGACCAUUGGUGCGGCAACGCAGCACUGUCCCAAAAUUUUCCCCAGCUUUAUGCCAUGAUGGUCUUUAGAAACGCAAUGAUCAAUAAAGUGUGGGAUUCAAGCCUUGGUCAAGGAGGGUGAAAUCUCAGAUUGUAUAGAGAUUCUAAUGAUUGGGAACUGGAUUUAAUAGAAGAGCCGCUUCUUUUGCUAAGGGACUUCAGGAUUUCUUCAGAAGAGGACUCAAUGUUAUAGAAAGGAGGGGGUCUUGAUAUUUUUCGGAUUCGGGACGUUUAUAAUUUGCUGGCUGCCCCUAAUCCCCUUGUCUUUCCGAAAAAGAGCAUUUGGGUGGAUAAGGUUCCAACCAAAGUUGCUUUCUUUGCGUGGGAGCUACUUGGGAAAAAAUCCUUAUGUUGGACAGGCUUCAAAAUCGAGGGUGGUAGUUCCCUAAUCGUUGUUAUUUGUGUGGUUGUGAAGAGGAAAAUGUAAAUCACAUUCUUUUACACUGUACAGUGGUCAGGGUCCUCUGGGAGAUCGUCCUUGCCUUGUUUGGGGUUCAGUAGGUGUUCCUAGAGACAGUUAAAGAGGUGUUAUUUUGUUGGAGGGACCCUUUUGUGGGUAAAAAGAGGAAAAAGAUUUGGAAUUCCAUCCCGUUGUGUAUUUUUUGGACGGUUUGGAAGGAAAAAAAUAGGUUAGCUUUUAGAGGGGAUUCGUUAGCUAUUCAGACACUCAAGAAUUUUUUUGUAUGUAGUUUGUGGAGUUGGGCUAGGGUAUAUGAGAGAUGAGUCCUCUUCACUUUUAGGCUUCUUGGAGUGGUUAGCGGCUCCUUAAGGGCUGGUGAGGUUGUUCUGUUUAUGUGUUUUUUGCUUUGUGGCUGCUUUGUAUACUCCCUGUAUGCUUUGUGGCCUUUCGACCUUUUUUAAUAUAUUUUGUGUUCAUCUAUAAAAAAAAAAUAAAAAAUUUCCGCAUGAUUCUAGCCUUAUAAAUGUAAACUAUAAUCUGUCAAAUAAUGUAUGAUAACUGUACAGAAUAAUAAAUGGAGAAAUAAGGAAACAAUUAUGGGCUAAAAUAAGGAAAGAAGUGUGGGCUAAAAUAAGGAAAGAAAUGUGGACAGCAAAGUUGUCCUUUGACAGCCCCCCUCAAAUUGAUGCAAGUUGAUCAACAAGCAUCAAUUUGCUACUUAGCAAGCAAUGUCGAUGACGAGGGAGAGCCUUGGUAAAGAUAUCAACAAUUUGUAAGUCAGUGGAAAUGUGUGGAAGAGUGAUGACACGAGCUUCAAAGGCUUCACGGAUAGAGUGAUAGUUCACUUCAAUAUGCUUUGUGCGCUCAUGAUAGACAGGAUUGGUCGUGAUUUGAAUAGCACUUGUAUUAUCGACAUGUAGAGGUGUAGGAUCGGUCUCAGAAAAAUCUAACUCCGCAAGCAAACCUCGAAGCCAAAUGAUUUCAGAACAAGCAAGAGACAUCGCCCGGUACUCAGAUUCCAUAGAUGAUUUAGAGACUUUGUCUUGCUUUUUACUUUUCCAAGAGAUCAAUGCAUCACCUAAGAACACAUACCAACCAGUGAUGGAGCGAUGGGUAUCCGCACAACCAACUCAAUCAGCAUCACUAUAAGCAGCAAGGCGAGUAGAAUUGCCUGCAGGGAAGAACGAGCCACGAGUAGAAGUGCCUUGAACAUAGCGCAUGAUCCUAUGGACAACAGCCAAAUGAAGAUGACGAGGAGUCUGAAGGAAUUGACUGACUUGCUCUACAAAAAAAGAAAUGUUUGGUCUAGUAAUGGUGAGAUAAACAAGGCUACCCACCAACUUCCUGUAUAAACUGGGAUCAGCAAGUAAGUCGCCCUCCUCUUUGCGAAGCUUGACAUUUAAUUCCAUAGGAGUAUCAACAGAAGUAGCCCCUUGUAGACCAGCUGUAGCCACCAAGUCACUCGCAUACUUAUGUUGAUUGAGGGAAAUACUAGAGGGACUAUGAUGCACCUCAAGACCAAGAAAAUAUGUGAGAGACCCAAGAUCUUUCAUAUGAAAGGACUCGGAGAGAUGUGUUUUGAGCUGACCAAGUAAAGCAAAAUCGGAACCAGUGAUCACAAUAUCAUCAACAUAAACCAAAAGAACAACAAUACCCAUGUCUGAUUUCCGAAGAAACAAGGAAGUGUCAUACUUGCUCUGCCUGAAUGAAAAUUGUAAUAAAAUGGUGCCGAAUUUAUCAAAUCAGACCCUCGGAGCUUGUUUGAGACCAUAAAGAGAGCGACGAAGCUUACACACAUGUGAAGUUGGAGAGGAAAACAAUCUCAGGGGUGACUUCAUAUAAAUACACUCUUUAAGAUCCCCAUGAAGAAAAACAUUUUUUACAUCCAUCUGAUGUAGUAGUGGCCAAUCAUUGGAAGCAGCAAGAGCUAGAAUCAUACGAACAGUAGUCAUUUUAGCCACAGGAGCAAAGGUCUCUUCAUAAUUGAUACCAUAUUCCUGAUUAUUCCCAAGUGCAACAAGCCGAGCUUUGUAACGAUCCAAACUUCCAUCAGAUCGGACCUUGACUGAGUAAACCUAUUUGCAACCCAGAGGAACAAUAGUGGGAGGAAAGGGCUCAAUGUCCCAAGUGUGAUUGGCCUCUAGAGCGGCAAUUUCUUCCUGCAUAGCUUGUCACCAACAAUCAUGCUUGGCAGCAUGUGGGAAUAUCAAAAUUGGACAAUGUAGCAGUAAGAGUUGAAAUAGAAUUUCCAGAACUGGAAGAGGGAAAUCCAUACCUAUUCGGAGGUACAGACACUCGAGGAGAGCGACGUACUAAAGAUGCUGGAGGUGCUGCAACUGACUGAAUUUGGAGUGUGGUAAGAUUAGAUAUCGGGUGAGCCACUGAAAGAGACUGUGGGCGGGAGUGUCUCAUAUACACAAUACCUGGUUGAAAGCGAGAAUUGACUGGAUGAAGAUCUGAGAACUGUUGCUCAAAGGAGGGGAGAACCAUAGUAGAAGAGGAUGACACAGUAGAAGAGGAUACAUGAAAGAAAUGUUGAUUUUCAAAGAAAAUAACAUUCCUAGAAAUACGUGUACGAUGUAAUGUAGGAUCAUAGCAAACAAAUCCCUUUUGACACAUAUUAUAUCCCAACAAAGCACAUCGAACAGAUUGAGUAGAUAAUUUAUGUCGCUCAUGAGGAGGUAAAUGAACAAAGCAUACACAACAAAAAAUACAAAGGUAAUCAUAACUAGGUUGCUUAGCAAAUAAGCGGAAAUAGGGAGACUCCAUAUCUAGGACUUGAGAAGGUAAACGAUUAAUCAAGUGAGUAGCAGUUUUCAGAGCCUCUACCCAAAACAUGGAUGGAACAGAAGAUUCUAACAAGAGAGUACGUAUCACAUCUAGGAGAUGACGAUUUUUACGUUUGACAACUCUAUUUUGUUGAGGAGUAGAGGGACAUGAACGUUGAUGAAUAAUACCCUUAGAAGCCAAUAAUGCUUGAAACUCAAUAGACAAAUACUCACCACCGGAAUCUUUGUGUAAUGUCUUAAUAGAAGUAGAAAAUUGAUUGUCAACAUACGCUAAAAACUCAGUGAAAGUACGAAAGACCUCAAAUUUAGAGCGAAGAAAGUAGACCCAAGUAAAUCUGCUAUGAUCAUCAAUGAAAGUCACAUAAUAUUUAAAUUUCUCAUGUGAACUAACCGAGGAAGGUCCCCAAACAUCACUAUGGAUAAGAUCAAAGCAGUGAGAUGCUCUACUUGCAUGCAAAGGGAAGGGAAGAGUUUUACUUUUACCAAGUUUGCAAGAAUCACACUCAAGAGAUAAAGAAGAACGAUCCUUAUUACCAGGUAAAUCAGAGUUCAAUACAUGAGAUAAGAUCUGAGUAUUGGGAUGACCUAAACGACGAUGCCACACCAUACUAAGAUUUGAAACAUUAUUACAAGCAAAAGACUUAAUAGAAGAAAGUGGAGAAAAAUCUGGAACAGGUAAAAAUAGUGGAAACAAGCGCCCCACUUUAGGCCCUUCGUGAUUGGCUCCCCUGUUACCUGGUCCUGCACAACACAACCAUUACUAGAAAAAUUAACAGCACAAUUGUUAUCAACUAAUUGGCCAACAAAAAUAAGAUUUGUGGAAAGUUGAGGAGCAAGAAACACAUUAGUGAACUUAGAAGAGGCAUCAUCGAUAGCAGCUAUGGGCAAAGAGCUGCCAUUGGCAGUUUGAAUGGAAGAUUGACCAGCGUAGGGCCGAACAUGACACAAAGCGGUGGGAUUAUUAGUCAUGUGAUUAGAGGCCCCCGAGUCCACGUACCAGAGUUUAGUAGAAUUGUUACCUUGGAACCCCAUUGCUGACAAUGCUGAAAUUAACAUUCGUUGCACCAUUUCUAGGGUGCAGUAAUUUGGUGCAGGAACAGAGCACGCAACUGAAGGAGAGUCGUGUGCUGCAGAAGUUGCUACAAGAGGGACAAUAAUCGAAGUCUGAAAUGCUUGGGCCUGACGAUUCUGGGGGUGAAUACGACAUUCUUUGAUAAUGUGACCCUUCUUCUUGCAAUAAGAACAAAACUUCUUAGGACAAGUAGCAGCAAUAUGCCCAUAUUCCUUGCAGCAAAAACACUGCAAGUUUUUAGAAUGCAUAGGUGGUCCGCGUCCUUAGGCAGCAUAAGCUACGGUUGCCAUCCUGGAACUGCCAUGAGAUUGCUCCAGAAUAGCUUGAGUACUAAGGCGUUGCUCUUCGCGAAGUAACUCACCAAAACAAAUAUCAAGAGAGGGAACAAGAGAUCUGUUCAGUAAAGAGGAGCGGUUAGAUUCAUAUUCCGGAUGUAGUUUCAUAAGAAACUGAUCACACCGGGUAGUCGCGUGAAUAGUCUGAAUAGUUGAGAGAACGGCAAUAGGAACAUCCGUUGUAGCCAAAUCAACAUAUUCAUGCCAAAGAGUCAAAAAUGCCGAGUAGUAGUCCUGGAUGGAAAGACUACCAUGUUGAAACAUGGCAAUCGCAUGUUCUAAUUGAAAGCGACGAGCAUCGUUAUCCUAAUUAUAAACUUUCUUCAAGUAAGCCCACAUAGAGUGAGCGGAGCAAUGGGGCCGUAAGUGGGUGACAAUAUGAGGCUCCACUGAACCAAGAAGCUAAGACAUGAUGCGUGCAUCAAGCACAACCCAUGAAGGAGAAGACCCAACAUCUUGAGAUUUGUCAAAAGUGGAUGGUUUUGCAACAUCCGUGCCAUCAAUAUGGCCCCAAAGGUCUUUUCCCUUGAGAAAAAGUUCAAACUGAAAUGCCCAGGUAGAAUAAUUUGUGCCUGUAAACUUAACACACACAAGUGCGAAAUCCAUAAAAAAUAAAUAGAACUCGAGACAAAAGGGUGGACCACAAAAAAAUAAAAAUCCCAGAAGAAAACUGACCCACGACAAUCACAGAAAUACCGAGAAAAAUGGUUGUGGUUGGGUGCAGCACGAAUCAACACAGACUUGACCGAAAGACACGAGAGGCUCCUCCGAAACCGAGAAGACAGAACAUAAUUUGAGGGAAGAAAAAUUAGCAACCUUGCUUUGAUACCAUGUCAAAAUAUUGUGUGAAUGGCCGAAUACCUUGGCCUUGAGUUUUGUAUAUUAUAUAUAGACUUUACAAGGAUGUUAUACAUGGAAAGCAAAUAAAAGCAAAUAAAUUCCCGCAUGAUUCUAGCCCUAUACAUGUAAACUAUAAUAUGUCAAAUAAUGUAUGCUAACUGUACAGAAUAAUAAAUGGAGAAAUAAGGAAACAAUUAUGGGCUAAAAUAAGAAAAGAAGUGUGGACAGCAAAACUGUCUUUUGACAUGAAUAUAUCUAUUACUAUCCAAAAGUCUCAGGAAAUCCAAAAAUUCUAUGUAGAUAAGACUAUUAUCAUCAUCACUAUCCAUUCUAUCCAUUGCAGUUGCAAACCAUAUUAUUUGAAAACUAUGUUAUGAUAAUGAGUACAAAUCAGAUGCUCCUUUCAGCUCAAGCUUGUUAAUCAGUUGGGUUAGGCAUAUGUAUGCUUGGUGGUUUGAUACACACAAACAUAAGAAUGAACUGAAACAAUCUGCAGAUAAUGUCAGGUGUCCCUUUUCUUCUUGCUGCCAGUUCUUAUGGUUUGAAUCAGGUUUAAUUUUCCUUCAUUAAUGGUCAUUUCCGUUGUCAUUACCAUUCAUUUAUUCAUUUAUCCUGCUUAUUCUCUUUGAUUGUCUUGUACUUAAAAUCAACCAUGGUUUGGCUAUUAUGCUUUUAGAUGUAUCGGGUCCUUUGAUUGUGAGUUUUUUCUUUUGAUGGUAAUCUUGUUACAGUGUCAAAUAUGUGUAGAUUGAUGGACUUCUAGCUUUACUUGUGGAGGAGGCAUCCCAGGCUGAAAGAUGUGGUCGUCCCUUUCCUUUAACCAUCGUUUUUGUUGAGAGGAAGGUAUUUCUGAUGUCUGUAUACAUUUGGUCUACCUGUUUUAUACUCUGUAAAUUUUAAUAUGCUGGUUAUAACUUUAAGCAUCUUGUGUGAUAAUUUCCUUCUGUAGAAUCCAUCCAUACCAACCUUUUUUUCCUUAGUCUAAACACAGGCACCUAGAUGCGCCCAUUUAUUUGUCAACUAUACUGGCAUUUAAAAAAUUUCUAGAUUGAUCUACCAGCUUUUCAUUGCCAAUUCUGAGUGCCCUCUUUUUAAUGUUAUGGCUUAGUCCAGAUUAUAUCUUCUGAACAUCUUUGCAUGAAUUUACCAUCGAAGUGCAAAAUGUUCAUAACAUAAUAAAAUUGUUGCAGAUGAUCAAAGAUAUGUUGGAACAGCAACACAAUGUGACGAUCUUAACUAACCAUCACAUGUAGGGUAUUGUAUUUCUUGAAGUUGAGUUGGAAAAUUUAGUGUUUUAAGAAAGUUUGUCAUUCUUUACUUAGGAAAUGCUGCCUAGAUGCAUGAUUUUUUUGCUAGGGGCAGAAAACGUGGUUAAUAUGGUGCAAGUUUUUUCUUCCUUUGAUCUAUGUUUGUGUAUUUUUUCUUUGGCAUGGUUCGGUUUGAUGUCAGUUCUAUAGUACUAGAUGAAGAGUACAAAUGAUUUUGUUAUCUUAUAUGUUUGUAUGUGUGUAUGGUUUUCCUCUAAUAUAUGAGGUCUUAGCAUGGUUCUCUAAUAACAAGGCAUGGUUUGAUGUCAGUGCUAUGGUGCUUGAUGAAGAGUACAAUUUAUAUAUGUAUACAUAUUUUAUCUGAUUUUUUUUUUCUUUCAUUCAUAUAUAAACUGGCUCUAUUUUUAUAGUGUUUAAAGGAUAACUGUUGGUGUUGUUACUUUACUAAACUUUAGGAGACAUUUUUAGUACUUGAAUUUGGGUAUGUAUACAGACAAGGUGCGAUGAAGUCGCGGAAGCUUUGGUAGCUCAAGGUCUGCGUGCAGUUGCUCUUCAUGGUGGCCGCAGUCAAGCUGAAAGAGAGGCUGCCCUUCGUGAUUUUAGGAAUGGUGCUACUAAUAUCUUGGUAUGCCUGUGUAUAUCCUCAAAUAGUAUUGAUGAUUGCAUUUUUAAUGGGCUUGUUCAGCGUGUUGUGACUGAUGAUGAUGCAUAGUGUGUAAUGAAAAUUGUGUCCAACUCCCCCUUUUGGCAUGGUGGUCUCACUCACAAUGGUGGAUAUCUACUUUUGCAUGCUAUAAAAUGGUGCCACUCAGUUUUCUUGGCAUGGUCUAUGUUGAGAGAGAGAGAGAGAGAGGAGAAAAACCUUAUUCUCAUUCAUUGUAAUCUCUACUUACAAUUGAGAGAUAUAUAUAUACAAGGCUAGGAGUCCUAACUACCAUACAUGUGACCUAUAUUAACAAGGAAAGAUAGUAUACUAUGCAAUACAUACAUUAUAUUCAACAUUCCCCCUCAAGCUGGAGCAUAUACGUCAUAUGCACCAAGCUUGUUACAAAUAUAUUUAAUCCUAGGACCUCUGAGAGAUUUAGUGAAGAUGUCUGCUAGUUGAUCAUUUGAAUUGACAAAACUUGUAGCAACACAUCCUGAUGCGAUCUUCUCUCUAAUGAAAUGACAGUCAACUUCAAUAUGCUUGGUCCUUUCAUGAAAGACUGGAUUGGAUGCAAUAUGUAAUGCGGCCUGGUUAUCACAGAUGAGUUCCAUCUGUUCAUCCUUUCCAAAUCUCAACUCCUGAAGAAGAUGUCUCAACCAUAUGAGUUCACAUGUUGCCAAAGCCAUAGCUCGAUACUCGGCUUCAGCGCUAGAUCUGGCCACUACAUCUUGUUUCUUACUCUUCCAAGAUAUUAGAUUACCUCCAAUAAAAACACAGUACCCUGAAGUGGAACGUCUAUCUGUGGGUGAGCCAGCCCAAUCUGCAUCUGUGUAACCAACAACUUGAGUAUGACCUCUGUUCUCGUACAAUACACCUUGGCCUGGUGUACUUUUGAUAUAUCGAAGGAUACGGAUUACGGCAUCCCAAUGGCUAUCACAUGGUGACUGUAGGAAUUGACUAACAACACUCACAGGAAAAGAAAUGUCUGGACGAGUAAUGGUGAGAUAGUUCAAUUUACCUACGAGCCGUCGAUAUCUCCCGGGGUCUCCUAAAGGCUCCCCCUGUCCUGGUACAAGUUUGACAUUCGGAUCCAUAGGUGUGUCUACCGGUUUACAGUCUAACAUACCGGUUUCUUCCAGGAUGUCUAAAGCAUACUUCCUUUGGGAAAGGACCACACCAGAACUAGAUUGAGCUAUCUCAAUUCCCAAGAAAUACUUGAGUUUCCCCAAGUCUUUGGUCUGAAAGUGGGUAAAAAGAUGUUGCUUUAGUUUCUGAAUACCAUCCUGAUCACUGCCUGUAAUGACGAUGUCGUCCACAUAAACAACCAGAUAAAUACACUGCCCCAAGGAGUUAUGAUGAUAAAAAACUGAAUGGUCUGCUGUACUGCGAAGCAUGCCAAACUCUUGAACAACAGAACUAAAACGGCUAAACCAUGCUCGAGGAGAUUGUUUCAAGCCAUAUAGAGAACGGCGUAACCUGCACACUAAACCAGACUCCCCCUGAGCAACAAAACCAGGAGGUUGCUCCAUAUAAACUUCCUCGGCAAGAUCACCAUGAAGGAAGACAUUUUUAAUAUCCAACUGAUAAAGAGGCCAAGAACACAUAGCAGCCAUGGAGAGAAGCAAGCGGACAGAAGCAAUCUUGGCAACAGGGGAGAAUGUGUCACCAUAAUCAGAACCAUAAACUUGAGUAUAGCCUUUAGCAACUAAACGGGCCUUAAGGCGAUCAACUUGACCAUCAGGACCAACCUUAACUGCAUAGACCCAACGACAACCAACUGUAGAUUUACCAGAGGGUAAAACAACAAGAUCCCAAGUGCCAUUAGAGUGCAGAGCAGCCAUUUCAUCCACCAUUGCCUGUCGCCAGCCUGGAUGGGAAAGAGCUUCAUGGGUGCUCUUUGGAAGAGAAACAGAGAAUAUAGCAGAAACAAAAGCAUAAUAGGGUGAAGAUAAUCGAUGAUAACUCAAAAAAUUGUAAAUAGGAUGAGGAUUACGAGUAGAGCGAGUACCUUUCCGAACAGCAAUAGGUAAGUCAUUAGGAGAAGGCAGAGCCGGGGCAGGUGAAGCCGAAGGGAUAGGAAGUGAGUCAGCAGGUGCCUCAGGAAAAGGGAGAGGAGCAACGACACGAGGGCAACGAUGAUAAACCUGAAGUGGUCGAGGGGGCAUAGCAUCAGGUGGGGAGACAAUGGGAAUGGGCAAGACUUCAGAAACAGGAAGAGACUCAGAAGUGGUGGAAAAGAAUGGUGAGUCCUCAAAGAAGGUGACAUCAGCGGAGAUAAAGUACCGAUGAGUCUCAAGGGAAUAACAACGAUAACCCUUUUGAAGUCUGGAAUAUCCCAAGAAGAGGCACUUCAUGGCUUUGGCGGAAAGCUUGUCCUGUCCAGGAGUGAGAAUAUGAACAAAGCAAGUACAACCAAAGACACGAGGAGGAAGGAAAUAAAGUGGUUGGUCAGGGAAAAGAAGGGAGUGAGGAAUCUGAUCGUGUAAGACAGAGGAGGGCAUACGAUUAAUCAAAUAACAAGCGGUAAGAACAGUGUCCUCCCAAAAGCGAAAAGGAACAUGACUAUGGAGGAGGAGAGUACGAGUUGUCUCAACAAGAUGUCGAUUCUUGCGUUCAGCUACCCCAUUUUGUUGAGGAGUAUGAGCACAAGAAGACUGAUGAAGAAUCCCAUGAUGAGACAUAAACGAAGUAAAUUGGGCUGAAAAAUAUUCCCUGGCAUUGUCACUGCGUAACACACGAAUAGAAAUAUUGAACUGGGUUUGGAUUUCAGUAUAAAAUUUCUGGAAAAUAGAGAAUAACUCAGCUCGAUUUUUCAUUAAAAAUAACCAAGUACAUCGAGAAUAGUCAUCAAUGAAAGUGACAAAAUACUGAAAUCCUAAAGUAGACGUAGUCCGACAAGGACCCCAAACAUCAGUGUGGACAAGCUCAAAAGGAGACUUUGCCCGAUUAUUCAAACGCUUUGGGAACGAAACACGAGUAUGUUUCCCAAGCUGACAUGACUCACACGGAAGCGACGACAAAGUUGAAAAACGAGGAACCAUCUUCUGGAACUUGGAGAGACUAGGGUGGCCCAGACGAUUGUGAAUGAGGAGAGGAGCAUCAGUGGAAAUGCAAACUGCAGGAGAUGAAUCUGAGGUGAGGUGAUAGAGGCCUUGAGACUCACGUCCUAUGCCAAUCGUCUUCCCCGUACUCCGGUCCUGCAAGGUCACAAAUUUAUCAGAAAAGGUAAUAGAGCAAUUAAGAGUACGAGUGAUUUUGCUGAUGGAAAUAAGAUUAAAAGGACAUUCAGGAGUAUAAAGGACAGAAGUGAGAGGUAGAGAAGGCAGAGGAAGGGCCAAACCAAUACCUUUAGCCACAGUUUGAGAACCAUUAGCUAAGGUAACAGUAGGUAAAUCAGAGGUAGUAGUAAUAAAGGAGAAAAGAUCCUUAUUACCAGAUAGGUGAUCAGAUGCUCCAGAAUCUAGAAUCCAGGGUCCAAGAGAAGAUGUGUGGGUAAGGCAGGCAGAGGCAUUACCAGGCUGGGCAACAGAGGCAAUAGAAGCCUGAGAUGUCUGAGAUGCGGAGGAGCUCGGAGGCUGAGGCAGCGGAGAAUCAGAGGACUGGGCCAUAUGGGCAGUGCGAGGAGGUCUUCCAUGUAACUGAUAGCAACGAUCGCGAGUGUGGCCAAGUUUAUUGCAAUAGGUGCAAUGAGGACGUUGGCCUCUACCUCGGGUACCACUGCGUCCUCCUCGAGAGGUAGUUUGAGAAACUAACACAGAAGAAUCUGAAGCGCUAUCAGAUGGCAAAGUCUGAGUGGACGAGAUACGGAGGAGGCGAGCAAACACAUCAUCCAAGGACGGAACUGAUGAACUACCAAGAAUCUGAUCACGAAUAGGCUCAAGAUCUGGACGGAGGCCAAUAAGAGUAAGGACCAUGAAGAACUUGUCAAGCUGUGUUUGUUGAGCCCCAACAUCAGGAGUAAGAGGCAUCACAGUCAAGAACUGCUCCUUAAGAGAGGCAAUCUGACCAAUAUAAGUAGAUAGAUCCAAGUCCUGUUGGCUGAGAUGGACAAUAGCAGAAGCCACCUUAUAAAGACGCUGGAUAUCAUUCGUGUAUAAUCCUUUGGCCUGAGUCCAAAAUUUAAAACAAGUUUUAUAGGCCUGAAGAUGAAGAAGAAUCCGGGGAUCAACCGAUUGCCAUAAUACACUACACAACUGUGCAUCUAUCUUCCUCCACUGUGCGCGGUCAACCUCAGGGAUAUCUGCCUCCUGGGUAACCAAGUGAUCCUCAUAUCCUUGACCCAUAAACCAAAGUUCAACAGAGGCAGACCAGGAGAGAUAAUUCUCACUGCCAACCAAUUUCUCUGAGGUAAUCAGAGGAGAUCCAGCGAGAACAGACGUAAAGAUCUGAUUUUUGGUGGUCAUAUUCACGUAUUUGGAUCGAAGAGAGCCCUAAGAUGGGUUCAGAUGGCUGUGAGAGGUGCAAUCAAUGGAGAAAAAAGGUCGUGACGUGCCUAGAGAGGAAGAGAAGCAGCAACCAAGCCUCGGGGAUGGAGGGGGAGCCCUGUCGGAGGUGGCCGGAAUGGCAAGAAAGCCAAAAACAGGGAAAAAAUGGAGAUGCAGGGCUCGAGGAGGACUGCCGGAGGGCUAGAAGGCCAAGACGGCGCCGGACGAGCCUGGAGAGGUGUCGGAAGUGGCCGGAAAGUGAGCCACGCGCCGUCACGCGCCGGCGCGUGGGUGACAGGCCGGAGGAGAAGGGCGGCGCGUGAGAUGCCGGUUGCCGGUGGGGUUUCCACUGGCAUGUAGAUCAGCCUCCGGCGGUUCGGAAUAUGUGGUCUUUUCCCGGAAAAAAGGUCGCCGGAAAAGGUUGCCGGCGUGGUGGAGAUCCGACGGCGAUGAGGUUGUCCGGGGUGGUUCGGAAAGAGAGUGAGGGGACCGGAGUGAAAACACGGUCACUCGACGGUUCGCCGGAAUUGAGUACACGGCUAAACCGAAAAAAUUAGGUUUUCUCCUUUGGCUCUGAUACCAUGUUGAGAGAGAGAGAGAGAGAGGAGAAAAACCUUAUUCUCAUUCAUUGUAAUCUCUACUUACAAUUGAGAGAUAUAUAUAUACAAGGCUAGGAGUCCUAACUACCAUACAUGUGACCUAUAUUAACAAGGAAAGAUAGUAUACUAUGCAAUACAUACAUUAUAUUCAACAGUCUAAUUUGCCUUAUUGUUUUAGUGAGUUUCAGGUCUUUUGGUCCAGUUCUUUGUUUGUUCUUUCUUUUAUUGAUCAUUAAGUUUAGAUUUAUCAAUUUAGAGAAUGGGCUUUAUAAUGAGGACGACAAAUUUAUAUGAAUGCUGAAUUUUGUUUUUCAAUAUUAUUAGCUUUAUGCAGAGAAUUAUGUGAGGCCAUUGACCUCAUAUUCAUUUCACACUUCUUUCCCAUUCUCUCUGAUUUUCGUCAUUUAGUUUGUAUUUCUUCUUCUGGAUUUCUAACAUGAUUUCUUACUUGAUUUGAUUCAGAAUCAGGAUGGUUCUUGACCCCAUACUUAUCUGUGUAGCUUAUUUUUAAACCUUUCUAUGCAGGUUGCCACUGAUGUUGCGUCCCGUGGUCUGGAUGUUACAGGAGUCGCCCAUGUUAUUAAUCUCGAUCUUCCAAAGGUAUUUAUGGCUUCAAGUGAAAGUUUUUGCUUACCGAGUUCACCUAAAACCUACUAACAAGUCUUGGAUGUUCCUAAAAGAUUUUGGAGUUCUUGCUGGUCUGACUUGUCAUUAUAGUAAUUCAAUGGUGUUGUUAUUUGGAAAGAAUAUUUUGUAGGUAGUAAUCUUCUUGAAUAUGAAGGGCAAUAUACAAUAUAAAAUAAGCUUAUGGUUGUUGACUCUUUAUGCAACUCAUUUGCCUGCUCCUUUCUGUCACUAUUAAUUUGCUUAUAAAAAAUAGCAAGCUUAAAGCUUAAGUUCUGCAUGCCUCAAUUAUAGGCAAUGGAAAAUUAUGUACACCGGAUUGGAAGGACGGGGCGUGCAGGAUCAACAGGCCAAGCUACUUCUUUUUAUACUGAUCGUGAUGUGGUAUCUUCUUACUCCACCUUUUCCUUGUACUUUAUUUCGGUUUUCCCUUCAGUAGUUCUGUUAAUAGAUACUGACUCAUCUUCUUCAAUCACAUUGUGUAGUUCCUUGUGGCUCAUAUAAGGAAAGCAAUUGCUGAUGUUGGAUCUGGGAAUACUGUGGCAUUUGCAACUGGGAAAGUAUGGUUUUCCCCUAUAAGUUGCAUUUCAAAAUCCAUGUGUUUCUUUUGCUUCACAUUUACCAUGUUUCCCCCCUUUUUCUGCACAUUGUUUUUCUAUACUUUUAACAGCUUUUUGUUAACUCAUGGGAGGAUAAGUUAGGUUAAAUUUCUAGAUUUUUCUUUGAAAGGGUGUUUCACUUUCAGUGUUUUCCCUUCUUUCCAUGACUUUGUAAAUCUGAUAUCACUAUUGACUUCUAGGUUGCAAGAAAGAAGGAGAGAGAAGCAGCAGCUGCACAGAAAGAAGCUAGGAUUGCAUUGUCCAAUCUCUCAUUGAUGGGGCCGACAUCAUUAAAUAUAGAGGAAAAGUAUAGGUUCAUGAUGAGCCCCUCGAGCAUCAAGACAGAAGGUGCAGCAGAUGAUGCUUGGGAUGACUGAUAUAAAAAGGUCUCCCAUUUGGUACUUCUUGUUACAAAAGAUGGCUAAUGAUCCUAUGUCUUAAGUAUCCAAGAUAGCAAGGUCCGGAACAUCUUUUUGUUUGCGAAGUUAGUUUUUUCUAGUUUGACACAUUCAUGCCCUUGUGCCUGCCUGUGGUUUGCAUGACAUUGCCUCGUUAUAUUGAUGAGGGUAAUAUGCAUAUUUGUAGGUGUUGCUUGGGGUACAAGGUGAUGUCAAUGAUGAUGAACUUUUUGUAAGUUUGUUUUUACACAAUUAAUGUAGUUAGCUCAUGUAACUGGGACUGGUUAUUACUUAAUAGAUGUUUUUAAAGUUUGUAGGACUGGUUAUUAUUAUCAGCAUGUUUCACAAAUUGCAGUUAGUUUUCUUAAAGUCUUGUGCAUUGCCAAGAAAUGGUUUGAGAGUCGAUCACUUAAAAUCUUUCAAUUUGGUGUCAAUACACAUUAAUUUGGUUCUGGGGGAAUCGCUUUGAUGCUGGCUGAACAGCCGAAAGGUGAUGAAGAAAAGCCUAUUCAGACACACGCGAUGCCGGGGUGGGGGUGGGGAGGCGUGUUGGCAAUGCCGAGAAUUUAUUCAGAUUAGCAAGCUCAGGCGCAACAUUUACAAGCCAUGGUGUUCAUGUGGAGGUUUGGGGUUGAGUUUGGCUUUGGUCUUGAUAUUCAGCUCAGGUUGAGCUCGUAAAUCUGGCACGGAUGCAGAGGAAGGUUAACCUUUAUGCUUGUUUUAAGCAACGACUGAACUGGGAAAAAGAAAAUUUAUGAUAUUUGGUCGAUUUAAUGCCAAUUGAGAAUUAAGAAGAGCUUGUGUUUCAUGGUUUUGAAGGGAAAAAGAGAUCUGUGCCACAAAUGGACUUUUGAAUAUGAGAUGCAUGAACCUCGAAAGGCUAAUUCUUAUUUCACCUAUUUAAUCAAGGGAUUAAGUACUCUUGUUGGGAGUUGGGACGCUACUGGUAAAUUCAAUCUUUUCACUGUAACCAUUCUCUAAUUUUAAGAAAUUGCUUCGUUUCUUUUUUAAUUAUAAAUGUAGAAGUACCCAUCUUAACAACAAGCGCCUGUAGCUCAGUGGAUAGAGCGUCUGUUUCCUAAGCAGAAGGUCAUAGGUUCGACCCCUAUCUGGCGCGUUUUAUUUUAUUUUUUCCAUAUAUUGCUUCGCCGUGAGAUUAGCUCAUUACUUUUGGUUUUUGGGUUCCAAAGCAACUUUUUAGUACAUUAUAAGAUAGUUUGUUACUUUAUACCUUUUAGCAGGUAAAUUCAAAUUAUAAAAACUUAGAGAAAAAAACUAAUAAUAAUAUUACUUUUUUAGAGAAAAAAAACUUAACAGACCAUUUUUUCAAAGAUAGAAAAUAUUUAAGAAUUUAUGCUAUACUUAAUUUUAAAAAAGUAUAUAAAGAAAGGAAUGAAAUAUUAAGGAUUUUUUUUCGAUUUAUUAUAAAAAAGGAAAAGAAAAAAUGUAAUUAAAAUUUUAUAUAAUUUUAAAUUAUUUAAUUUUUUCCUAGAAGAAGAAAUUUAAAUAAAUAUAUAAAAAUAAUUUAUUAACUUAAAUUUAUUUAUUUUUAUUUUUUUUUUCUAUUUUUUUUUCUCACUUUCUCGUCGUCCCCCCACCUCAAAUUCUACCGUAACCAAACACAAGGUGUGAUUUAGGACUUUUCUUUUACCUUUCAAAAGUCAAUUUAAAUUGACCAUUCCCAGGAUUGCCAACUGCCAUUACUCUUCCUUUCUUUACUUUAAAAAUUUUUGAACUCUGAUUUCUAAGAUCGUCUUUGUUUCUUUCAAGCCUUAGGAACCACAAUAAAGGCUUUAAAUUCACAUCUUCCUUUAUUUUAACUCACACCCACAGAGGGUCAAGCACAUUGAAAGCCUCGACUAACUGAGCUGAGGCAGAAGAUAAUUUAUUUCCAGCAUUUCUCCAUCAAUACCUAAAGUUGCCAGCAACUUUUGGGCUCUUCAACCACAAAGCAAUCCAAGUAAGGCCUAUGUGAAACUUCAGGGUAACUUAACCUUCACCAUCCAGACAAUACAUACAUUAUCCAAGCUCACAUACCAGAUUAGGAUGUUAAAACUGCAGGCCGCUUGUGGACUGUAAAAGCUUGGCGAAGCCGAUUGUAGUCAUUCCUGUAAUGUUCAAGGGAGAAACAAAGCUGGCGAAUCGCCUCCCUCUUCUCUUCUGCUGCUUCUGAGACUAAACCCUUUUGCCUCUCAACCUCCUCCUCCAGUUGCUUAGCUUUUGAUCUCAGCUCCUCUACCAGUCUACGUGCAUCUCCAGCUCCAGCGACCAGCUCUGCUUGUUCUAUUCGUAGUUGGUGCAAAUACUUAUCCAUUUGAAUUUUCUGAUCAUCUCUGGAACUUAGUUCAGAGAUAAGUGCAUGAACUCUUGCACUGAGCUCAUCUCUUUCCGACAUUAAAGUGUCAUGUUUCAAGUUUAGUGCGUCUAGGCUUUUAUUCAGGUCGUUGAUGCGAUCACCACUCUCAGCAGUGUCUGCCUUUAACUGCUCGAUUUCGGUCUUCCAUAACUUUUCCUGUUCUUCAAGGCGAGCUUUGGUUUCUCUUUUUUCGGCAUCUACUUGCUUGAUCUCCUCCUCUAAAGACUGGCAGCGUAGUUCCCAUUCUUUUAGCUUCUCCUCCAAAUGAGACUGGUCGUCUAAGAGUUUUGAAAUUUUGGCCAUUAGUAGUGAUUUUUCGAGCUCAAAAUUAUGGUCAGCAUCAGAGAUGACUUCUUUUAAUUCCCUGAUCUCAUGUUCCCGAUCUGAUAAACUAGUUUUGUACCUCCCAACCCUUUCCUGAAGCUUGGAGACCUCCCUUUUCUCUCUAUCGAGCUUGGCUUUCCACAUAGCAAUGUCUUUAUGAGUCAAUUCAAGCUGUUCCUGCAUAUGGCUGAUACUUUCAGAGGAUCCUCUACUUGCAAGUUCAUCUAUCAAAGUUGCAAUUUCUUUCUCUGAACCCUGAAGCCUUUCUUUUGUGAUUCUCAGCUCUUCCACUAGGCUUUGAAUCUUAAGACCAGGGUCUGAGCAAUCCACUUCCAACCCAACAGCCCCUUCUUCAAAUUCUGAUGCUUGUUUUUUUGCAAACUCCAGCUCGGAUUCCUGCAUCUUGAUAUCUCUAGGUGGUAAUUCAACAAGCUCAGCCUGGAAAUUAUUUGUAAAGUUCAAGGGUCCAUAUUUCUGGAGCUCAGUUUUCAACCGAACGAUCUCUUCUUCUGAAAGCUGAAUCUUUUCCUUAGCAGCCCUCAGCUCUUCUUCAUAUCCAGCAAUUUUUCCAAGUAGAUCUUCACAAUUCCCAUUUCCGGUUCCCCUCAAUGACCUGUCUGCAUUCUCUUCCUGUUGCAUCUGUUGCUUUCCUGGCACGCCCAAGUAAUUGUUGACAGAGGAAUCAUCAGAUCCCGACUCGGAAUCCGAUAGUGAAGAUGACUCAUCUCCUUUGUUGUACAGAUCAGAGCUGCUCCCACCUGAGCCGAGGAAGAAAUCAAAACCAGCAGCUCGACGACCAGAUUUACGUCGCCUCUCCCUUUGAUCAGGAGAAGGACAUGUAGAGGCUGGUUCAGAGCCAAGGUCAGAAAUGCCUGAGCCCUGAGAUUGGAGAUCUGAUAGAAUAUUCUUCCUCAGUUCUCCUGUCACAUGGUCAUAACGCUCAGCCAGCGACCUGUAAAUGCGGUAAAAGUCCUCAACGUGAGAGAUCAAUUCAGGUCUCUUCUGAUAAUACAUCUCAGCCUUUUUUGCAAAUGAAUCCCCAUCCUCUUCAAUCAGCUUCAACAUCCGUUUCACACUCUGGUCCAUCUCUGAGGCCAAGUACCCUUUUAUCAGUUUCUAUUCAAAAACUGUUUUAAAAUUUACACAGGGUAAUUGGCAAAACAUUAUUUUGUCUCAACAAUGAGACAAUUAGGAUUAACAACAAAUAUCUAUAGGUUUAUCAGAUUAAUGUGUUGAGCAAGAGCAGUGGCAAAAAUAUCUACCAUUAUCCACUACUUGAUCUUAAAAGUCUUAACACAAACCUUACUUCCGUUAGAACAUCAACAUCAAAACUUAAAGUUGAUAAAAGAUUGGACCUCACAACAAGGUUAUCGGUAUUCCUAGAAAGAACUGUCUACAUUACCCUGUCGAUAUUACAAUGCAUGUCUGAAAUAGUAGGGAAAAUAAAUAUAAUAAAAAAAAAGAUUGAACAACCUGCAGUACUUCAAGAGAAAUGGCUAAGAGAAUGGAUUGAAAUUUAAUUUUAGCACAGAUUGCAAUCCACACAAGACACUAUAAUUAGGUCACUACAAAGUUUGAGGACCAGGACUAUCAAUUCAGGACAUCCAUCAUAAGAUGGUUUAAACCACCUAAUCAAGGAUAUCCAGCUGAUUAAGUCCUAAAUACGAUGGAUCACUAACAUUAAGGAUUAAGCUCAUUUGUAUAUAUUUGCACUUCUACUAUUUCCUAAAAUAUAUGAUGCAUAAGGGGUGGCAUGUGCCCUUCUUAUGAUCUCUUUGUAUAGCAUGCUCUGCAGUCAGGCAUUAGAAAACUAACAAGAAUAAUAACAAAUAGCAGUAUUAGUUGCUCACCCUCAAGAUUAUCAGCGAGCCACUUGGAGUUUUUGGGACUGAUAUGACUAUCCCACCACCAGGAAUGUGAUUUCUUAGAUUCUGUCCUCUUCAGAUUCUUUUGUGACUUAACCUGAAAUAAAAACAAAUAAAAACCACAAUAUCAUACCAGACCUACAAAAUAGCCAACAUGCAUUCAGAUGUUCUUAUUGUGAAAAAAAUUAGGGGCAAGGGAAGCUUUCCAGGGUGUAGUUCAGCAGUAGUGAGACCUUUAACAAUGAUCUGCCCAUUAUUUAAGUGGGAAGCCUUCCAGGGUGUAGUUCAGUGGUAGUGAGACCUCUAACAAUGAUCUCACCAGUAUUUAAGUGGUGCGGAUGGGUGCAUAUCACCCAGGGGGGAUUUGCCUCGCAGGCACUUGGAAUAAAUGCCUCCCUGUUGGGGUGCAUUCUCUGUUCUAAAAUUUAAUAUAACCACAGCCAUAGAGUAAUCAGCAAAUUGUUACCAUCUAAGGUUUAGGAUUUAAGGAUUAGGGUUGUAAGAGAGAAGAAGAUUGCUAGUCAUAUCCUCAUUCACUGUGGGAAAGCAAGAGGACUGUGGCAUCUUUUGUUUUCAUCUUUUGGUAUCUCUAGGAUUCUCCUCAAUUUAGUGAGAAAGGCUCUUUUGUGCUGGCAUGAGAGUUCUUUGGGAAGAGAAGGAAAGUUUGGUGUUAGUUUUGGACCAUAUGGUGGGAAUGUAAUCAUAGAUCCUUUGAUGGUGUGAAGCAUUUGGAUCAGCCACUCAAAACACUCCCUCAAUUAUGCCCUCUUUCAAUUGUCCCUUGACUCCCAUCAGCCUCAACAUGAUAAUCCUUGAUCCUUGUUAGACUUCAUUGACUGGCUGGGCUUCAGGUAGUGUUUUGUUGAUCGUCAAUGCUGUUUUUGUUUCCUUUUGCAGCCCUUUGAAUACCCUGUGUACUUGGGGUGCACCAUUUCCUUCCAUUAGGCGCUUUUAUCAAUAUUGUUCUUACAUGUGCAUCAAAAGAAGUGGUUAAUUUCCCUUUUCCUUCCCCUCUUUCCUUGUUGAAAAGAAAACAAAGCAUAAAGUGAAGGAUGGGUGGAGCAUAAUGUAUUCUUGCUGCAUUAUUGCCACAUGAUGACUGUUCAUGUACUUGUCCUCUAUUGUGAACUUUCCAGGAUAUAGCAACACACAUUCUAUUCAACUAAUAGGUUACACAAAUCCCUGUUUGUUGAUUUAUUGGAUUUCAUACUCUACAUUCAAAUUGUCAAAUCCCAUGGAUUAUUUUCAUUUGUUGGGAUAGUGAAUUCUUGGAUGACCACAAAUUUAUUUGCUCUAUUUAUUUAUAAUUCUAAAUAUACAUACUUUCCCAUGUAAUAAUAGUUUUAGGAUGAGAGCACAAAUCCAAAGAAGCAUUAUCAAAGGUUCAUCCAAAUUGAAUGAGUAACCAAAAUAAUACUUAUGAAAUAUAUGUUGUUUUGCUUUCUUAAUUACAGUCAAGGUAAACAAUUUAAAGUGAGAAAGUGUAUACUAUAAAAAUUUAUGGAAAAUACUUGAGGGAGAUGCAUAAAUAAUUGUAGAAGAAAUGGAAACAAGAGACAGAAGGAGCAUACACAUCCAUAUAUCCCAAUUAGUUCCUUUUCUUACCAAGGAAGAAGCCAUGCUGCUAAGUUGGUGAAGUUUGAGAGUUGAUUUAGAGGGCUGGAUCCAAUAGACUCUCAGAGCUUUAUUUUGCAAUGUAUCUGCAGCUAGGCUUCAAUAACAAUACUCAAUCAGAGGCUAAUAUGCAACAUCAGAACAUCUAUAUUGAGAUUAUAAGUUUAAACUGGAAAAUGAUUUCAAAUGGAAGGUUCAUAAAUGAUGGCCACAUAAUUCAGAAUGGGCUUGUAUAACAUAACUUUUUCAUCUUUGAUGUGCUAGGAAGAACCUAACCCUAAAUGAUUAUUUCAUACUUAACUGAACUACAGAACUUUAAUUUCAGUUUAAGCACAAUGCACGUGAGUUCACAAUUACUAUUCCCACAAACUAUAUGAAAAGCCUGGCAUGGUACCAUCUAGCAUCCUACUAUUUUCAGAACUGUCAAUCUACAAUAAAAAAGAGUGAUUAAAAAUCAUCAAAGAAAGGCCUGAACAAGAAGUUUAAUAUUAUCGAAUCAUCAACUUAUUAUAAGUUAUUGAAAAAAAAUAAACAUUAUAAACAAAAACUGAAAUUGAUAAUAAAACCAUCAUGAAAAAGAAUGGAAAACUUAGAACAACGAGUCGGUUCCAGAGGCAAAACUUACAUUGAUACUUUUGUUGAUAGCAGAUUGAAAAAUGUAAAUCCAAGCUUCUCAGUUUAUAUCGACAAGGGGCUGAUAUCCGUUGAAGAAAGUGGCUGGAUCCUUUUGGAUUGGCGUCAGAAUUAAGUCAAUAACUACAGGUCGCCCAACCAACAACAGAAAGGUGUUAAAAAAAAGGGGGAAAAGAAAUAGGCAAGAAAAAACCACCAACAUGGAGCGUGACCCCACGCGCACAGAAAGCGCGCGGACUUGGCAUUUCUCUGGGGAUUAAUUUCUGCCUGAACCUUGAAAUUAAGACAACUGUCCAGGCGAGAGCUCCAGCUAUAUACACGCGUUUCAAGCACAAAACACCGACCCAAAAAUAAAAAUAAAAGUCAUAUAAAUUCUUGGACACAUGUAGAGAAACCAGAAAAUUGAUGGUAAAAGUGGAUAGAAAAAGAAUCUGUGAGUCUCUUCACCAUUAUACCUUACAAGAAUUGCUUUUGACUCCAGGUUCAAUUUGCAGACAGCGAUUGCGAAUCGCGGAAAAAUAAUCGAUUUCCAACUAAAACAUUCCAAAAAAAAAAAAAACCCAAUGGAGGGGACAUGUAGAACUAAGAAACCAGAAAAAUGAUGGUAAAACCGGUUAAAAAAAAGACUCAACAGUAGUAACAAGAUCAUUCCUGGCAAAAAUUGCUUUAAAUUUAAGUUCAAUUUGCAUAGAACUCGGUUGCGAAUCGUGAAAAACUAUUCGAUUUCCUACUAAAACAUUUCUAAAAAAAAAACAAUUAUUGGAGGACAUAAAAGAAGUAAGAAAAGGGAAAAAUGAUGGUAAAACCGAUUGGAAAAAGAGUCAACAGUCUCCACAAGAUCAUUCCUUGCAAAAACUGCUUUAAAUUUAAGUUAUUUCAGAAGCCUCGAUCGCGAAUCACGGAAAACUAUUCGAUUUUCCACUAAAACAUUCCUUAAAAAAAAGAAGUAAAAAUUCAAUGAUCUGUACUCCGCGAUCCUCCUCCGCACCAAACUUGAACAAAUAUCCAACGAAUAGGAUAAAAUGACGCACAUGACUAAAAUCCGAAGCAGAAAAACAAUCACAUUAUCAGAUUGGAUAUGAAAAUCGAAAAAUCGAAGAGCGUACCUUGAGCUGCCGCAAGAGCUUCAACAACAGCGAGUGUGUGGAGAUGAGAUGGAGAGAAAGGAAGAGGAAAUGGAGGUGGGAAAGAUGAAGUCUGAAUCCGAGUACUGAAGAAUGAAGUCAAAGACUUCCUUGCCUAUUUAUAGAUAAAAGAAACAAACAAAAGUGAGUGACCCCUCACUCUUCUUCUCCCUUUGGCCCUUUUCUCGUGAGUCGUGAAUCAGCUUCGGACCUCUCCUUCUCAACCCCUUUGCAACUUUACCUACUCAAAGGACCGUUUUGCCCUCGAUCCAUACUCUUAUUUCCCAAAAUACCUAAUAUUUCUUUGUUUUAUAAAUGACAAGGUAAAAGCGGGUUGUUUUUAAAAAGCAUAUUUUUGGGGGAAAAUCUUCGUUUAUCGCCUAAGUUUGUAUGCUUUUAUUUUUGAAAACAAAAACCAUUGCAGGCUGCCAAUUCUUACAAGAUCUUUCAAUCUAUUAAGUACUAUCAACUUCAAGCAAUCCCACAUGUAUGGGAAAAUUAAGAGGAUAUAUGGUACAUAAAGUGUCUAACAAGGAGGGUAUGAUCUAAGUCACAAAAAGCACUCAAGUUCCAU
rnacentral:lncRNA from 1 species